AUAUCAUCACCAUCUUCAUCAACUGAUGAGGCAGAGGCUCUGCGCAGCACCGGUUGGUGGAAUUCUACCUCUGCUCAUUGCCACUGGGAUGGUGUAUAUUGCAAUAAUGCCGGAAGAGUGACUGGAAUCGCCCUUUACGGUUCAGGAAAAGAAUUGGGUGAGCUUAGCAAAUUGGAGUUUUCUUCAUUUCCCAGCCUGGUUGAGCUCAACCUUUCUGCCUGUGGACUCAAUGGUAGCAUCCCGCACCAAAUAGGUACUCUUACUCAACUCACUGUUCUUUCUCUCCAUGAUAACAAUCUUACAGGUGAGAUACCUCUGUCCUUGGCUAACCUCACUCAGUUGCUCUACCUCACCCUUUGUUCUAAUCCACUACAUGGUUCGAUUCCUCCUGAAAUUGGGAAAAUGAAGAAUCUGAUUUUUUUGGAUUUGGGUUAUAGCAACCUUAUUGGUGUCAUCCCUUCAUCUUUUGGUAAUCUUACCACUUUGACUACUCUCUAUCUUGAUGGUAAUCAAAUAAGUGGUUUUAUCCCUCCUCAAAUUGGGAAAAUGAAGAAUCUGAAGUCGCUUUUACUUUCUUAUAAUGGACUACAUGGUCCAAUUCCUCCCGAAAUUGGGAAAAUGAAGAAUCUGAAUAAGUUGAAUCUGGGUUAUAACAACCUUACUGGUGUCAUCCCUUCAUCUUUUGGUAAUCUUACCAAUAUGAAUUCUCUUUCUUUUCGAGGUAAUCAAAUCAGUGGUUUUAUUCCUCCUGAAAUUGGGCAUCUUUUGAAUUUAUCAUAUUUAGAUCUCAGUGAGAAUCAAAUCAGUGGUUUCAUCCCCGAAGAAAUGGUAAAUUUGAAGAAAUUGAGUCAUCUAGACAUGAGUAAUAACUUAAUAAGUGGAAAGAUACCUUCACAGUUGGGAAAUUUGAAAGAAGUAAAAUACUUCAAUCUCUCCCACAAUAACCUCUCUGGCACCAUUCCUUAUUCUAUUUCUAGUAACUACAGAUGGACAUUGAUUGAUUUAUCAAACAAUCGGUUGGAGGGUCAAGCUAGAGCUCCGGUAGAGGCAUUUGGCCACAACAAAGGUCUAUGUGGUGAAAUCAAAGGUUGGGCACGAUGCAAGAAAAGGCACCAAAUCACACUCAUCAUUGUUGUUUCUUUAUCUACAACCUUGUUGCUUUCAGUUGCAAUCCUUGGUUUUCUCUUCCAUAAACGAAGGAUCAGAAAAAAUCAAUUACUCGAGACAACAAAGGUGAAAAAUGGAGAUCUAUUUUCCAUAUGGGACUUCGAUGGUGUGAUUGCUUAUCAAGACAUCAUCCAAGCAACCGAAGAUUUUGACAUCAAAUACUGCAUAGGCACGGGAGGCUAUGGGAGCGUUUAUAGAGCACAACUACCUUCCGGGAAGGUGGUUGCCUUGAAAAAACUUCAUGGAUGGGAAAGAGAGGAUCCAACUUACUUGAAAAGCUUUGAAAAUGAAGUUCAAAUGCUAACAAGAAUACGACAUCGUAAUAUUGUGAAACUUCAUGGCUUUUGUCUACAUAAGAGAUGCAUGUUUCUAGUUUACAAAUAUAUGGAGAAAGGAAGCUUGUAUUGUAUGCUAAGGGAUGAAGUUGAGGCUGUGGAAUUGGAUUGGAUUAAGAGGGUGAAUGUUGUUAAAAGCAUUGCUAAUGCUUUAUCCUACAUGCAUCAUGACUGCGACUUGCCCAUCAUUCACCGAGACAUAUCAAGUAAUAACAUUCUUUUGGACUCUAAGCUUGAAGCUUUUGUGUCGGAUUUUGGCACUGCAAGAUUGUUAGAUAAUGAUUCAUCCAAUCGAACCCUUCUUGCAGGCACUUACGGUUAUAUUGCACCAGGUAAGCUAGAUUAUAAUCUUCACUAGUUUUCAUUACUUAUGAAUCUUUUCAAUUGUCACACCCUUACAAAAUUCCAAAAGUUUUUUAGAUCGAGAAUUCAAAAUAUUUUAUAAGUUUUCUCUAUAUAAAUAACAUGAAUGCUCAUUUUUUUUCUCUAUAUUUUGUAGAGCUUGCUUAUACUAUGGUUGUGACUGAAAAAUGUGACGUUUAUAGCUUUGGGAUGGUUGCAUUGGAGACGAUGAUGGGAAUGCAUCCAGGAGAAUUUAUCACCUCAUUAUCAUCUUCAUCAACUCAAAACACAACGUUAAAGGAUGUAUUGGAUUCACGUCUUUCAUCUCCUAAAAGUACACGAGUUGCUAAUAACAUAGCUCUUAUAGUGUCAUUGGCGCUCAAAUGUCUCCAUUUUAAUCCACAAUUUUGUCCAUCCAUGCAAGAAGUGUCUUCGAAACUUGUUUCUACAAGGUCAUUCCCACAACCCAUCAGUGCAAUAUCACUUUUGCAACUAAAAGAUGAAGUUAUUUAAAUGCCAUGUGAGUUGGUAUGUAAUUAGAGUGAAGAUGUUUACUUUCCAUUUUUCUUUUUCAUGCAUGCUAGUAAUGAGAAUUUUAUAAUAUAUGUAUCCCUUCUUUCCUAUUAAUUACUCAAAUGCAAAUUUUCUAUUUGUUUUUCCAAAGCGACAAUAGCGUAAUGCGAUACAAAGAAUUACAUCAAAUUGAUACACAAUGAUCUAUAAACUUUUAAUGAACCAUGUCAUUCUGAUUAAUAAUUUUUUAUAAUGAUUCUUCUUUGGACAAAAAUCCUUCUUUUUCUUUUAUCAAUUUUAACAUAUAUACCAUUUUCUCUAUUUUCAUAUUCUAAUCAAUCAAAUUAGUGACAUUUCUUGUAAAUGUGACAAACCUAUUGUCAAAGACAUUAAAAAAAUAAGGGAAAAAACAAAUUGAAUAAUUUCAAUAUGAUUGUCUCUACAUGAUGAAGAUAAUAAAUUUAUUUUAUUUAUUUUUAAAAUACUGUUUUAUCCAUUUUUCCUAUAUCAUCUAAAAUUUUGUCUAAAAUAAAAUUAUUUGAUUUUGUAUAAGAAUACUUAAAAAUGUGGGUGGGAAUGUGGGAUACUAGGAUGACGCUAAAACACUAAAUGACAUACUUGUGAUACAAUAUUAAGAAAUUAUUUCAUAAUGUUUUAUAAUUUGUUUCUACUAUUUAGUCACCCAUAAAUAUCAAUUUUAAAAAUAUUUAAUGAUUAAAGAAAAUUAAGUGAGAUAUAAUUAAAAUAACUCUAAAAAUUUUAUUUUCCCAUCAUGGAAUAACAUAAUUGAUAUUCAUACUAAUGAUUUUAUUAAGAUAAGAUACCUAGUCGAUAAAAGGUCCUUGAUUUUAUAUAAAAUUAGACAUUAUAUUUACUUAAAUUAUUUUCAUAAUAGUAGCAUAUUUUUUACUUUAUAAUUUCUUGUAACUUAACAAUUUAUAAUAAUGAUGAUAAUAAUAACAACGACAUUAAUUAAUAAUACCAAUAACAGUAACAGUAAUGAUAGUCAUCAUUUUGUAAGAGAGAAAUCCUCCUAAUUUCUUUAAAAUUUUAACACACUAUUUCUCAAGUUUCCAUUCUAAUCAAUCAAAUUUUGUAAGAUUUUUAUUGACACAAUGAAUCUAUUGUCCAAGGUGUACAAUAAGAAUGGGAAAAAAAAACAAAUUGAAUAAUUACACAACAAUGUGGUGAAGAUAAUAAAUUUAUUGAGUUUAUUUUUAAAAAUCCCACCUUAUUUAUUUUCCAAAGUAUUUAAAAUUUUGUACAAAAUAAAAUUAUUUGAUCAUGUACAAGAAGAGCACUAAAAAAUAUUGGUGGGAGUGUGAAAAUAGUAUCAUCCAACCCAAACACCAAAUGACAUACAAGUGAUGCUUAUUAAGUCAUAUUUAAAAAAAAAAAAAAACAAUACUAUUUAAAUUGAAUAAUUUAGGUGAACUAUGAAGACAAGUACGACAUUUUCAUAUUCUAAUCAAUCAAAUCAAUGAGAUUUCUUGUGAAUAUGACCAACCCAUUGUUAAAGGCAUACGAUAAAUUUAGGGAAAAAACAAAUUGAAUAAUUUCAAUAUGAUUGUCUUUGCAUGAUGAAGAUAAUAAAUUUAUUCUAUUUAUUUUGGAAAUACGAUUUUAUCCAUUUUUCCUAUAUCAUUUAAAAUUUUGUAUAAAAUAAAAUUAUUUUAUUUUGUAUAAGAAUACUUCAAAAUGUUGGUGGGAAUGUGGAAUAGUAGGAUGACACUCAAACAACAAAUGAUAUACUUGUGAUGCAAUAUGAAGAAAUUUUUGUAAUAUUUUACAAUUUGUUGCUACUACUUGGUCACCUAUAAAUGUCAAUUGUAAAAAUAUAUAAUGAUUGAAGGAAAUUAAGUGAGAUAUGAUUAAAAAAAUCUAAAAAUUUUAUUUCUUAUUUUGGAAUAACAGAAUUGAUAUUCAUACUAAUGAUUUUAUUAACAUGAGAUAGCUAGUUGAUAAAAUGUCCUUGAUUUUACAUAAAAUUAGACAUUAUAUUUAUUUAAAUUAUUUUCAUAAUAGUAGCAUAUUUGUAAAAUAUAUGAAACUCUAUUUAAAUUGAAUAAUUUAGGUAAACUAUGAAUACAAGUAUAACACUAAUGCUCCUCAUUUUAUUGAAAUAUUAUAAAACAUAUCAUGAAGGGUGUAGUUAAGGAUAUAAAAAUUUGGCUGUUGGACCAAGGACUAACCUAAGUCCGUCUAAAUAUUUUAGUUCGAAUUCUAAUUUGGCCAUUAUCUUGCCUUAGCCCUAUCCUUUAAGGUUGGACUUUAGUUUAUCCUUUCUAGAUGUCGUUGAGAAUCAAAUCAAUGGUUCCAUUCCUCCCGAAAAUAGGGAAUUUGAAGAAUUUGUCUACUCUAUACAUGAGCAAUAACUUAAUAAGUGGAAAAAUACCUCUCUAGUUUGGAAGUUUGAAUUAAAGGUGGUGAAUUCAAUUCCCUAAUUUCACUUAUAAAUAGAGGUGACUUCCUUCAGCGAGGGAAUCGAAUAGACAAAAAUGACUCCACAUGAUAAAAGGGACUUCACAAAGAAAAAAAAGUUUCACAAAAUCUCUCUGCAAGUUUAAGAAAUGACAGAAUCACUACACACACGAUCUUCACCUUUCAAAGAGUUCUUUCAGGAACAAGCCACUUAUAACUCUUGAUUAAUCUCUAAAAUUAAAGAAACAUUUUCAUCAUGGUCUUCCAAAUUAUGAUCAAGGUAAAAGAAUUAGAGGGAUAUAUACUUUUGUAAAAGAAUAUUAUCAUAAAAAUUGUGCCCCAUGAUUUAAUAAUUUUAAUAAAAUUUUUAUUUUACAUUAUUUUUCUUAUUGUUUUGCUUACAUUGCAAGACUUUACAAAAUUUGUGUAUACACUCAUAAUGAAAUACUUUUUUUCUUUAAAUACCAAAAUUUGAUAUCUCUUCUUCUUUUUUCAUUUUUACUUUAUAGUUUCUUGUAACUUAACAAUUUAUAAUAAUGAUGAUAAUAAUAACAACGACAUUAAUUAAUAAUACCAAUAACAGUAAUAGUAAUGAUAGUCAUCAUUUUGUAAGAGAGAAAUCCUCCUAAUUUCUUUUUAAAAUUUUAACACACUAUUUCUCAAGUUUCCAUUCUAAUCAAUCAAAUUUUGUAAGAUUUUUAUUGACACAAUGAAUCUAUUGUCCAAGGUGUACAAUAAGAAUGGGAAAAAAAAACAAAUUGAAUAAUUACACAACAACGUGGUGAAGAUAAUAAAUUUUUUGAGUUUAUUUUUAAAAAUCCCACCUUAUUUAUUUUCCAAAGUAUUUAAAAUUUUGUACAAAAUAAAAUUAUUUGAUCAUGUACAAGAAGAGCACUAAAAAAUAUUGGUGGGAGUGUGAAAAUAGUAUCAUCCAACCCAAACACCAAAUGACAUACAAGUGAUGCUUAUUAAGUCAUAUUUAAAAAAAAAAAAAAACAAUACUAUUUAAAUUGAAUAAUUUAGGUGAACUAUGAAGACAAGUACGACAUUAAUGCUCCUCAUUUUAUUGAAAUAUAAUAUAUCAUUAACACUUUCGAAUAAGGAUGUAAAUAUUUGGCAUGUUAGUCAAAACCUAGUAUUGUCUAUCUAACCGCGAUCCAAUCCCUUUGGGAUUGGACUUGGGCUUAUUUUUAAAGUUCGACUAUAGCCUAUGAGUUGGGCCUCCAGAGUCGACUUCCUGCCCCUGUAUCAAGAGUUCAAGGUCUCAAGACCAUAAUGUCACGAGUCAUGGCACAGUCAAUUUCGGCCAUAAUAGUAUUUUUUUUUUCUUCUUUUUCUUUUGGUUUUUUUUUUUCAUACUAGGGAGCUGAUGAUAUAUUGAACUUUUUUGCAUUUAUGCAUUUUCAAAUCUACUUAUAAGAUUGGCUCCUAUAUUAAAUUGUCGAUAUUAUCCCUAAACAUAAGUUUCUUAUAAGAAACUUUCAAAAAAAAAAAAAUUGAACCACCAUUUUAAAGUUUAUAGGCUUCAAGAGGGGCUAAUUUCAUUAACAAUGCCCUAUGAGAUUUAGUGUAAAUAUACUAAGUUGCUAUAGAUUUUAAAUUUUAUUAAUUAACAACAUUAUAAAUGUAUUUUAUAUAUAAAAUUUAUUUUUUUAGAGAAUAAAAUUUAUUUUUAAGAGAAUUGUUAAACAUAUCUACUUAUUUUAUUUUAUUUUUUUAAUAAAAAAAUCUUUCUAAAAAAUAUGUUUUAUAAAUAUAAUAAAUUUAUAAUAUGCUAAUCAAUAAAAUUUGAAUCUAAUAGUAGUUAAAUGUAUUUACAACAAAUCUCAAGAGAUCUCGAUUAAAUUAACUCUAAAAAAUAAAUAUGAUUUAAAUAUGUUUUAAAAAGAAAAAAAAUGAAUGAACAUAAAAUAUAAACCCUCCAUCAUUGAUAUGGAGGACAAAAAUUUAGAAGAAAAUUGUUUCAUCAUUAUUGGAUGAAAAAAACGUAAAGAAAAAAAAAAGGUAAAAGAGAAAAAUGGAAUGUGAAAAAUGAUAUAAAUUUAUUAAUUUCAUGAACACUUAGUUAUUUUUUAAAAUUCAUAAAAAGUAUUAAAAUAAGGAUAUUUUGGCUAUUACGUUUUAAAAAUAGUAUAUAAAAUAAAAUACAUUUUAGUCCUUUUGUUUUGAAAAGAAAAAUAACAAUGAAAUUGUUUUUCAAAUAUUUCCAUUCUAGUAUGCCUUCUCCCAACUUUUCCAAAAAUACAUAUGUAGAGACAGAAUUUUUAUCUCCUAUAUUAAAAAUAUUUAAAUUAGGAAGGUUUUUUAGAUAGGAAAUAAAAUCAGAUCAUAUGUGAUGAAUAAUUGAAUAUAAAUUGUUUUUUUUAUAGUUUUUUUAUUUAAUGUUUCAUUAAUUUGAACUCUUAACUAAACAUAUAUAUUUAAGUUUAUUUUUAUUUUUAUAAUAAUAAGUAUUAAAGAUUAUAAAUUAAAAAAUGUAGUAAUUUUUAAAUUAUAAAUAAUAAUAUAUAUAAUGUUUUUAUGUAAAUAAAAUUUAAUAUUAUCUUUUUAUUUUAUUUUAAAUAUGUCUUCAGACUUGAAUAUUAUAUAUGUUUUUAAAUAUUAAUACAUUUAUAUUUGAACUUGUCCUUGUUUCAUUUGAUGAUGUCAAAUAUAAAAAAUGAAAUAUUAUUAAAAUUUGAAUUAUAUAUAUAUUUUUAAUUUUAAUUUUUUAUAAUAUAUAAAUUAUAUAUUUAUGAUGCUACUGGUUUGACAUGGUUCAACUAUGGCUCCAAUUUGUGAAUCAUCGACUGAUAAUUUUUUCUAUUUAAUGACCGAUCUAAUUAUGAAAACAUUGAUUUGAUGUAUUAGAACAACUUUAAUAUUUAAAGUAAAAAUUAAAUAAUAAGUUUCAAGUCAACAACCUAAUUAAGAAUAAUUUAAGUUAAAACUAAUUUAAGUCAUUAAAUAAUAAGUAUCAAGUUUUACUAGUUAUUAUCUAAAUUUUUAAAAGUGAUUUUAAAGAAUUUGUAAAACACUUAAUUUCUCUGAUAAAACACUUUUUAUGUAUAAUAUAUGAUGCACUUUUAACUUUCUCAAAAUCAUUUUCAAACAUACUUAUACAAAAAUUUAUAGUGAUUUUUAGAUAUAUAAUUUUUGUGAGUUCGUCAUUGUUUAAUUUCAAUCGACUCAUCUAAGUUUUCUUCUUGGUCUUUUACGCAAACAUGGUGCAGAUUGGAAAAUUAUAUGUAUAAAUCCAUCAUUGAUCUCAACAUCAAUAUUUUUUUCUUCAAUUUAUUUGAUUGGAAGCUUCCCCAAGUUGUUAAUGGAUUUCAAUUGGAUGCUCUUAGAAAUUAAAUCACAAAUCAUCAAUUGAACUAGACAUUAUUAUUAAUAUAUAUUAGAGACUUUAGCUGUAGACUAGAAAAUAGUUGCUUGACUUAGUGUGUGUUUAAGGGAAGAGCUCUCUUGGACACCAACCAAUAUUUAUCUAUUAUGAAAGCGUGCAGUAAUAAAGAGCCUUGGAAAAUAUUGCCUCGAAAGAUAUGAUUACAUUCACAAUUUUUUCCACCAUAGUAAAAGUCUCAUAUUUUGGCUAUGAACCUUUAUAAAAUUUAUUAUUAAAAGCAAACAACACGCAACUUAGUUGAACCAAUAUUUAUAUAUUAUAAAAGUGUGCAGUAAUAAAGAGCCUUGGAAAAUAUUGCCUCGAAAGAUAUGAUUACAUUUACAAUUUUUUCCACCAUAGUAAAAGUCUCAUAUUUUGGCUAUGAACCUUUAUAAAAUUUAUUAUUAAAAGUAAACAACACGCAACUUAGUUGAACCAAUAUUUAUAUAUUAUAAAAGUGUGCAGUAAUAAAGAGCCUUGGAAAAUAUUGCCUCAAAAAAUAUGAUUACAUUCACAAUUUUUUCCACCAUAGUAAAAGUCUCAUAUUUUGGCUAUGAACCUUUAUAAAAUUUAUUAUUAAAAGUAAACAACACGCAACUUAGUUGAAUAAUGGUUAAUGGCUAUGUUUGUUUCUCGAAAAACUUGGGAGAAAAUGUAAGGGAAAGAAAAAAAAAAAAAAGUAAAAAAAAAAAAAAUUAAAAUCAAUAAUUUAUUUUUAUUUGUUACUUUGAACUUAUUUACUUAUUUUAACCCAUCGAUAUACAUAUUAAGUAAUUUGAAAAAUACAUAAGAUUUUUACUAGUUUUAAUUAUAUUUGAUUUUCUUUAAUAUUUUCUAUAUCACAACAAAAUAUGAGAAAAUAAUUUUUCAUAGUAUUUUUUUCUUUCCUUAUUAUUUUCCAAGAACCAAAUAUAACCUAAAUUAUUUAGAAACGGUUUUUCAAAGGUUCUUGAAAAAUUUUACAUUUGCAUUUUGAUUUAUAAUGUUUAAAAAUCUUAUAUUAGACUAUAAAUUCUUUUAAAAAUAUGCUAUUAGGAGUAAAGGAAACAAGAACCUUAUAUCAGUAAUGCAGAAAACAAAAAUUUAGAAAAAAAAUUUCUACCUUUACCUUUUGAAACUAGAGAAACUAUAUUUGUUUUAAUUAUAACAAAUAAUCCAAAAAUAGUUUGAUUGAAAAAAAAGGUAAAAGAGAAAAAAAUUAUUAUUAUCAUUAAUAUUUGAAAUUAUCAAAUGUUUUAUUUGUGGGAUAAAAAAUUUCAUUUUUUGUCUAUUAUGUAUUUAUGUUUAUAUUAAAUUUGUUUUCAUUAGUUAUUUUAUAUAUAUUAUUAUUUUGUGUUUAAUGGGAUAAUAUUUAUUUUUUGUCUAUUAUCCAUUUAUGCUUAUAUUAAUUUUUUUUAAUAUAUUAUUAUUUUGUGUUUAAUGGGAUAAUAUUUUUUUUUGUCUAUUAUCCAUUUAUGCUUAUAUUAAUUUUUUUAAUGUAUUAUUAUUUUAUAUAUUAUCAUUUUUUAUUUAAUGUGUCUAAAAAUUAUUAAACAAAUAUGAACACAUGAAAGAGUGAAAAAUUUUAAAUUUAAAAGAUGUUACAAGAGAAAGUGUAGUGAGAGUAUAAAAUAAAUAAGUGUCAAAGACUUAGAUAAGUUAACAUGGAAGAGAAAGGGAAAAAAAAAUUUGACUAAUUGUGUCAAAAACCCCAUAAAGGUUUUUGUGUGAAUCUCAUUCAUUUCAUUUCAUUUCUCCUAUCAUCCUUUAUAAUUUCCUUUUUCAUGUAAACACCGUAAAAGCUUACCCAAGUUGCAAUUAAUUAAAAAAUAUUGCCCUUUCACAUUUUUGUGUUCUCACCUAGUCCACAAAGACAAUCUCAGUGAGUGUCAAUGUUCACAUUGCUUUUAUUGCAAUUCACUUAGUGGUGACAAAGAAAUUUCAUUCAUGGUGGUCUACCCACUAAAUUAAAAUGAUUGAGAUUUGUUUUACCUAAUAGCGUGUGGUUUUUCAAAGAUUCUUAGAGAAUUUUAUCCCAUUCUCAUUUUGAGCAUGUCAUUUUGGUUUUGUCAAACUUUUAUCUAGUUUCAUAAUGAGUCAACAAAUUCAUAAUGCGUAAAUCACACGUAAUUUAAUCUGUUGACUCAUUAUGAAUAUUUUAUUUAACCUUUAAAUUUUCUUUUAGUGAUCAUUUGUGUAUGUGAAGGGUCAUUCUUUUCAUUUUUCAUUUUGUUUGACUUCUCAAAUCUCAUUUUCAUGUAAAACUUUGCAGGAUUUUCCAAAGGCCCUUGAAAAAUAUUGUCUCAUUCCUUAUGAAAUCUUCUAAAAAUCCAUUAUUAUGAAUAAAUAAAGUAUAAGCUUAAUUGAGUGAUCACAUUAUUUAGAACUUGUUUAGGAUUGAUUUUAGAUAAAACAUUCUUAAUUGAUAGUAGUUUUUGUAAUUAGUGUAUUUUCAGUGAUUAUCCAUGAAUCACUCAUGCUGAUUAGCUAAAAUUUUAAAAUUGGUCUUGAAGAAUUUAUCAAACACCUAAUUUCUCUAAGGAAACACUUUCACGUAAUAUAUGAAACAAUUUUAGUUAGUCUUCUCAAGAUCAUUAUCAAACCUAGCUGCUUUUAAAAAAUUUUACAAAUAAUUUUUUUUUUAUGAUUUAUUAUUCUUUAAGUUGGGUUGAUUCUUCUAAGUCUUCUUCUUAGUCUUUUACGUAAAUAUGGUGUAGCUUGGAAAAUGCAAUGAACGAAUCCACAAUUGAUCAACGUUAAUGCUUUUUGUAUUCAAAGUAUUUGAUGGGAAAACCUACCAAACGUGGAAUAUGGGCUGUAGUUGUUGAAUGGAUUUCAAUUGCAUGUUGGAAAUUAUGCCAUAGUCCGUGUUUUUUGUGUUAAUUUAUACUUGAAAGAAGGUUUAUAAUGGGCUGUGGUUGUUCAAUAUUUAUAUUUGCAUUAUAAAAGUGUGUGGUAAGGUUUAAUUAAUUGCAGUGAAUUAAAGAUGGUGUCCUCCGUUAUUAUUUCUACAGCAGUGGUAAUAGUUACCAGUACCAUGAUGAUGAUGUUAUUCUCCCUUGCCAAAGCAAUAUCAUCACCAUCUUCAUCAACUGAUGAGGCAGAGGCUCUGCGCAGCACCGGUUGGUGGAAUUCUACCUCUGCUCAUUGCCACUGGGAUGGUGUAUAUUGCAAUAAUGCCGGAAGAGUGACUGGAAUCGCCCUUAACGGUUCAGGAAAAGAAUUGGGUGAGCUUAGCAAAUUGGAGUUUUCUUCAUUUCCCAGCCUGGUUGAGCUCAACCUUUGUGCCUGUGGACUCAAUGGUAGCAUCCCGCACCAAAUAGGUACUCUUACUCAACUCACUGUUCUUUCUCUCCAUGAUAACAAUCUUACAGGUGAGAUACCUCUGUCCUUGGCUAACCUCACUCAGUUGCUCUACCUCACCCUUUGUUCUAAUCCACUACAUGGUUCGAUUCCUCCUGAAAUUGGGAAAAUGAAGAAUCUGAUUUUUUUGGAUUUGGGUUAUAGUAACCUUAUUGGUGUCAUCCCUUCAUCUUUUGGUAAUCUUACCACUUUGACUACUCUCUAUCUUGAUGGUAAUCAAAUAAGUGGUUUAAUCCCUCCUCAAAUUGGGAAAAUGAAGAAUCUGAAGUCGCUUUUACUUUCUCAUAAUGGACUACAUGGUCCAAUUCCUCCCGAAAUUGGGGGAAUGAAGAAUCUGAAUAAGUUGAAUUUAGGUUAUAACAACCUUACUGGUGUCAUCCCUUCAUCUUUUGGUAAUCUUACCAAUAUGAAUUCUCUUUCUUUUCGAGGUAAUCAAAUCAGUGGUUUUAUUCCUCUUGAAAUUUGGUAUCUUUUGAAUUUAUCAUAUUUAGAUCUCAGUGAGAAUCAAAUCAGUGGUUUCAUCCCCGAAGAAAUAGUAAAUUUGAAGAAAUUGAGUCAUCUAGACAUGAGUAAUAACUUAAUAAGUGGAAAGAUACCUUCACAGUUGGGAAAUUUGAAAGAAGUAAAAUACUUCAAUCUCUCCCACAAUAACCUCUCUGGCACCAUUCCUUAUUCUAUUUCUAGUAACUACAACAAAUGGACAUUGAUUGAUUUAUCAAACAAUCGGUUGGAGGGUCAAACUAGAGCUCCGGUAGAGGCAUUUGGCCACAACAAAGGUCUAUGUGGUGAAAUCAAAGGUCGGCCACGAUGCAAGAAAAGGCACCAAAUCACACUCAUCAUUGUUGUUUCUUUAUCUACAACCUUGUUGCUUUCAAUUGCAAUCCUUGGUUUUCUCUUCCAUAAACGAAGGAUCAGAAAAAAUCAAUUACUCGAGACAACAAAGGUGAAAAAUGGAGAUCUAUUUUCCAUAUGGGACUAUGAUGGUGUGAUUGCUUAUCAAGACAUCAUCCAAGCAACCGAAGAUUUUGACAUCAAAUACUGCAUAGGCACGGGAGGCUAUGGGAGCGUUUACAGAGCACAACUACCUUCCGGGAAGGUGGUUGCCUUGAAAAAACUUCAUGGAUGGGAAAGAGGGGAUCCAACUUACUUGAAAAGCUUUGAAAAUGAAGUUCAAAUGCUAACAAGAAUACGACAUCGUAAUAUUGUGAAACUUCAUGGCUUUUGUCUACAUAAGAGAUGCAUGUUUCUAGUUUACAAAUAUAUGGAGAAAGGAAGCUUGUAUUGUAUGCUAAGGGAUGAAGUUGAGGCUGUGGAAUUGGAUUGGAUUAAGAGGGUGAAUGUUGUUAAAAGCAUUGCUAAUGCUUUAUCCUACAUGCAUCAUGACUGCGACUUGCCCAUCAUUCAUCGAGACAUAUCAAGUAAUAACAUUCUUUUGGACUCUAAGCUUGAAGCUUUUGUUUCGGAUUUUGGCACUGCAAGAUUGUUAGAUAAUGAUUCAUCCAAUCGAACCCUUCUUGUAGGCACUUAUGGUUAUAUUGCACCAGGUAAGCUAGAUUAUAAUCUUCACUAGUUUUCAUUACUUAUGAAUCUUUUCAAUUGUCACACCCUUACAAAAUUCCAAAAGUUUUUUAGAUCGAGAAUUCAAAAUAUUUUAUAAGUUUUCUCUAUAUAAAUAACAUGAAUACUCUUUUUUUUUCUAUAUUUUGCAGAGCUUGCUUAUACUAUGGUUGUGACUGAAAAAUGUGACAUUUAUAGCUUUGGGAUGGUUGCAUUGGAGACAAUGAUGGGAAUGCAUCCAGGAGAAUUUGUCACCUCAUUAUCAUCUUCAUCAACUCAAAACACAACGUUAAAGGAUGUAUUAGAUUCACGUCUUUCAUCUCCUAAAAGUACACAAGUUGCUAAUAACAUAGCUCUUAUAGUGUCAUUGGCGCUCAAAUGUCUCCAUUCUAAUCCACAAUUUCGUCCAUCCAUGCAAGAAGUGUCUUCGAAACUUGUUUCUACAAGGUCAUUCCCACAACCCAUCAGUACAAUAUCACUUUUGCAACUAAAAGAUGAAGUUAUUUAAAUGGCAUGGAGUUGGUAUGUAAUUGGAGUGAAGAUGUUUAUUUUCCAUUUUUCUUUUUCAUGGUAAUGAGAAUUUUAUAAUAUAUGUAUCCCUUCUUUCCUAUUAAUUACUCAAAUGCAAAUUUUCUAUUUGUUUUUCCAAAGCGGCAAUAGUGUAAUGUGAUACUAAGAAUUACAUCAAAUUGAUACACAAUGAUCUAUAAACUUUUAAUGAACCAUGUCAUUCCGAUUAAUAAUUUUUUAUAAUGAUUCUUUUUUGGAGAAAAAUCCUUCUUUUUCUUUUAUCAAUUUUAACAUAUAUACCAUUUUCUCCAUUUUCAUAUUCUAAUCAAUCAAAUUAGUGACAUUUCUUGUAAAUGUGACAAACCUAUUGUCAAAGGCAUUAAAAAAAUUAGGGAAAAAACAAAUUGAAUAAUUUCAAUGUGAUUGUCUCUACAUGAUGAAGAUAAUAAAUUUAUUUUAUUUAUUUUUAAAAUACUGUUUUAUCCAUUUUUCCUAUAUCAUCUAAAAUUUUGUCUAAAAUAAAAUUAUUUGAUUUUGUAUAAGAAUACUUAAAAAUGUCGGUGGGAAUGUGGGAUACUAGGCUGACACUAAAACACCAAAUGACAUACUUGUGAUACAAUAUUAAGAAAUUAUUUCAUAAUAUUUUAUAAUUUGUUUCUACUAUUUAGUCACCCAUAAAUAUCAAUUUUAAAAAAAUUUAAUGAUUAAAGAAAAUUAAGUGAGAUAUAAUUAAAUAACUCUAAAAAUUUUAUUUUCCCAUCAUGGAAUAACAGAAUUGAUAUUCAUACUAAUGAUUUUAUUAAGAUAAGAUACCUAGUCGAUAAAAUGUCCUUGAUUUUAUAUAAAAUUAGACAUUAUAUUUACUUAAAUUAUUUUCAUAAUAGUAGCAUAUUUGUUAAAUAUAUGAAACUAUUCAAAUUGAAUAAUUUAGGUAAACUAUGAAUAUUAUAAGUACGCCAUUAAUGCUCCUCGUUUUAAAAGAAGCAAUAUUUCAGUUUCAUAUCUAAAGUUUUUUUUUCCAACUCCAAUUGGUGUAUAUAGACCCGAUUUUGUAGUGAAGCUUGGCAGCUAGUAGGAUUUCCUUCACAGAAAAGAAUGGACAGAUGAAAUAAACAGAAACCAAACCAAGAGAUGAGUGUGGUGUAUUCUCAUUCCUUGGCUAGAAUCCCCACAUCACAGGUACUGCCUGUUAGCUUUUUUCUUAUAAUGUGUGGCCAUAUACAAUUAUAUUUGUAUGAAUAUUAUUUAAGGGUAUCAAUUGAUAGGUUGGUGAAUCAAUUGAUUGGGCAUCCAAGAGUCUUAUGUAUGGAAGAUUCAAAUUUAUAAAUGGGGAGUUAGAAAAUUUAACUCAUAUGAAUGUGGUGUUACAACUUUUGUAACCCCAUCAUUAUGAAAUUUAUUUGUACAUUAUGUUUAUGAGUAAUGGAGGAAAAUGGAAAAGUAUAACCUAUGCAAUUAUAUAGAUGCAUUCAAGUUCAUAACCCACCAUUACCCAUUGAUUUGUACAUAAUGGGUGUAAAUAAUGAGUAUAACUCUCAUAUAGUCUUUGAUGGGAAGACUAAGAGAUGUACAAUUUUUUUUAUAAGUUCAAGUCCCAAGCCACACUCUCAUUCUUAUAUCAUUUUUGUUAUUUAUUUUUAACAACAUACACCAUACAAAUGACUCAUCCACUAUAUGAGAGUAGUGAGUUGAAGACCUUGACAAUAUAAUUCACAAGGUGACUUAAUCUCACUUCAUGGUUCAAGGUAAGAAUAUGAUCAUUAUUUUAGUAUUUACAUUUAUUUUGUUUUAUGCAUCCAAAAUUGUUUUUUAAAAUAAUUAUUUCCGCAUAAAGUUUAUAAAAGUUUGGUUAACAAUUGGUAUCAGAGCCAACCAAUUUUGGAUCAUAAAACAUAUUUUUCCGUUUUUUGAUUAUUGUUUGAUCUUAUGGACAACUAAAAUAUAUAUGAUGUGAUGCAUAUGAAUGAUGUAGUAACACAACAUUUUCAAUGUUUCAUGAUUUCAAUCAUAUCUAUUGCAUGAUUUUAUGAAAGUUGAAAACAUAUGAUUAGUAAUUUAAAUGUGUGAUUAUGGAAAUCUCAAGAAAUAGUUUUUCUAGUAUGCAUGUUUAUUUACUUGUUUGUUUGAAGAUGAUCAUAUAUAUAUAUAUAUAUAUGUGUGUGUGUGUGUGUGUGUGUGUGUGUGUUGUUCAACUUAUGAAACAAGUGUUGAUCAACCCAACGGAGGAUCAUCACCAUGUUUGAUUAUAUGAAAAGAGUUUAAUAAUAAAAAGUUGAUGAAGUUUUUACCCAACGGUAUUAAACUUCUUUACGUUUCAAUACUUUUAUUUUAAUAAUUAUGUCAUAUCUAUAUGAUUUAUGAAUUAUUAUAAUUCAACCCAACGGAGGGAUUAUAAUAAUGUACUUUUGAAUUAUAUGAUUGUAGUUCGGUCCAACGAAAGAACUAUGAUAUAAUCUCUUAUGUUUAUAAUUAAUGUGAUAUCUAACUUAAUUUUUGUUGUAAUUAGAUUAUUGUAAAGUGUGGUGUUAAAUAUUGUCAUGAUAUAAAAUAAUUUUCCUUUUGAAUUAAUCCUAUUGCUAUUAUAGGCUAUUUGUCUGGUAUUGAACAAUUAAGUGGGGCAAAUUUUAAAAAAUGGAAGGAACAAAUUGGAAUUAUUCUUGGUUGCAUGGAUUUGGACUAUGCCUUAAGAGAACCUACACCCACAAAGCCUACUUCUGAAAGGACUAAUGAACAAAAGGUUUUAUAUGAAAAGUGGGAGCGCUCUAAUCGCAUGAGUCUAAUGAUUAUGAAAGGUUCAAUCACUCCUGCAAUUCGUGGAGCAAUCCCGGAUUCAGAUAAUGCAAUAACCUAUAUUAAAUCAGUUGAAAAACAAUUCUUAGGAACUUCCAAGUCCUUGGCAAGUACUCUUAUGAUCAAAAUGAUAACAAUGAAAUAUGAUGGUCAUAGUGGUGUACGUGAGCACAUCAUGAAGAUGAGUGACAUGGCUUCUCAAUUGAAAGGAAUGGACAUGACAAUUUCUGAAGGUUUUCUUGUUCACUUCAUAAUGACUUCCCUUUCUUCACAAUUUGGUCAUUUCAAAAUUAAUUAUAAUACUCAGAAGGAUAAGUGGAAAAUGAGUGAACUAAUUGCCAUGUGUGUUCAAGAAGAAGAGAGGCUUAAAGUGGAAAAGCCCGAUAUGGCUCACCUCACCAUUGGUCCAAAUAAAAAAUCCUUCAAGAAAGGUAAAGGUAAGAAAAAUAAGCAAGGUAAUGAUGUAUCUCACAAUGGGCAAAAGUAUGAAAAUAAGAUACAAUGUUAUUUUUUCCACAAGAAAGGUCACAAAAGAAGAGAUUGUUCUGGCUUUAAGCCUUGGUUGGAAAAGAAAGGUAAAACUCAAUGCUUAGUGUCUUAUGAAUCUUAUUUAGUUGAUAUACCACCAAACUCUUGGUGGAUUGACACUGAUGCAAGCAUUCACAUAACGAAUUCAUUGCAGGGAUACCUUACAAGCAAGAUACUAAGUAAAGGAGAGCGAACCAUUACUUUGGGAAAUGGAACAGAAGUGGAAAUUGAGGCUAUUGACACUCUUUGUUUAAUUUUGGAUACUGGUUUCAUUAUGGAUUUAGUAGAUAUAGUUUAUAUUCCUGUUUUUAUUAGAAACCUAAUUUCAGUUCCAAGACUUGAUUCUUAUGGUUAUGAAUUAAAGUUUGGAAAUAAUGGAGUUUCCUUGUUCUAUAAUUCUUGUUUGGUUGGCUCUGGCACUUUACAUGGUAAUCUUUAUUCAUUGAAUUUAGAUUGCAAAUAUUCACAGUCUCUUUUAUCUUAUCAUGUGUAUGAAUUCUCUAAAAAACGAAAUCAAGUGAAUGAAAAUUCAUCCAUAUUGUGGCAUAAGCGAUUGGGUCACAUUUCAAGAGAAAGGAUGGAACAUCUUAUUAAAGAUGAAAUUUUGACUUCACCUGAUUUUUCUGAUUUUACUAAUUGUGUUGAAUGCAUAAAGGGAAAACACACUAAGGUUAAGAAAAAGGGUGCCUCAAGGGCUACUAAAUUGUUAGAAUGUAUUCAUUAUGACAUUUGGGGACCUUAUUCAAUUCCAACUAUCAAUGGACAUAAGUACUUUAUUAGUUUUAUUGAUGACUUUUCAAGGUAUUCUUAUGUGUAUCUUAUUCGUGAAAAAUCUGAAGCAUUAGAUGUUUUUAAGAUUUAUAAAGCUGAGGUUGAAAAUCAACUCAAUCGGCGAAUUAUAAGUGUAAGAUCUGAUAGAUGUGGUGAAUAUUAUGGUAGGUUCACCAAAUCAGGUCAACAUCUUAGUGCUUUUGCCUUAUUUUUAAGAGAGCAUGGUAUCAUUGCAAACUACACAAUGCCUGGAACACCAGAGCAAAAUGGUGUAGCAGAGCGACAAAAUCGUACUCUAAUUGACAUGGUGAGAAGUAUGAUGAGUGACUCAACCUUGCCUGAAUUUUUGUGGGGUGAAGCAUUGAAAACUGCUGUUCACAUUCUCAAUCGUGUUUUUAGUAAGGUUGUACCCAAAACUCCUUAUGAGUUAUGGGUGGGUAGGAAACCGAAUUUGAAUUAUUUACAUGUAUGGGGAUGUCCAGUUCAAGCUAAAAUUUUUAACCCACAAAUCAAGAAAUUGGAUUCUAAAACCAUAAGUUGCAAUUUCAUUGGCUAUCCUGAAAGAUCAAAAGGUUUUAGAUUUUAUUGUCAUGGUCAGGGCCCUAAAAUUUUUGAAACUAGACAUGCUGUGUUUUUGGAAAAUGAAUAUUUUAGUGGGAGAACUGAGCUUAAAAAGUUAACCUCUAAUGAAGUAUCAACACCAAUGAUGGAAUAUGGUGUGACUCAAGAGGUUUCUUGUAAUGAAAAUGAGAAUGUCCCAACUACAGAAGCAUCUUUACGUAGAUCACAAAGAGAGAAAAAACCUGCUAUAUCAAAUGACUAUGAAGUUUAUCUUAAUGAGUGUGAUUAUGACGUUGGCUUGGAAAGUGAUCCUACUUCUUAUGAUCAAGCCAUCAAUAGUGAAAAUUCAACUCUAUGGCUUUAUGCUAUGGAAGAAGAGUUGAAAUCAAUGAAAGAUAAUGAAGUUUGGGAUCUUGUAAAAUUGCCUAAAGGAGAUAAAACUAUUGGUUGCAAAUGGAUUUUUAAAACCAAACAUGAUUUUAAGGGCAAUGUCGAAAAAUACAAGGCUAGGUUAGUUGCAAAAGGAUACACUCAAAAAGAAGGAAUCGACUAUAAGGAAGCAUUUUCUCCUGUUUCCAAGAAAGAUUCCUUAAGAAUAGUCAUGACUUUAGUAGCUCAUGUUGACUUAGAGUUACAUCAAAUGGACGUUAAAAUUGCAUUUUUGAAUAGUGACUUGCAUGAAGAGGUUUAUAUGGAUCAACCCGGGGGUUUUUAGGAUAAAAGCAAGGAACAUAUGGUAUGUAAACUUAAAAAGUCCAUAUAUGGUCUAAAACAGGCUUCUAGAUAAUGGUAUCUUAAGUUCCAUGAAAUUCUCAUCACUUUUGGUUUCAAAGAGAAUCUAGUGGAUCAAUGUAUAUACCUUAAGAUCAGUGGAAGCAAAAUUUGUAUUAUUGUAUUGUAUGUUGAUGAUAUGUUGCUUGCUAGCAACAAUAUGAGAAUGAUUUUGGAGACCAAACAAUUUUUAUCCAAGAAUUUUUAUAUGAAAGAUCUUGGUGAAGCAUCCUAUGUGAUGGAAAUUGAAAUUCAUCGAGAUAGGUCACGUGGAUUAUUAGGAUUAUCCCAAAAGAACUAUAUUGAAAAAUUUCUUAAAAGAUUCAACAUGCAAAAUUGUUUUAGUAGUGUUGCUCCUGUUGUGAAAGGGGACAUAUUUUGUGAACUUCAAUGUCCCAAAAAUGAUCUUGAAAAGAAACAAAUGGAAAAAAUUCCUUAUGCUUCAGCAGUAGGAUGUAUCAUGUAUGCUCAAGUCUACACUCAACUAGACAUAGCUUAUGUGGUAGGCAUGCUUGGUCGAUACCAAAGUAAUCCAGGUAUUGAUCAUUGGAAAGCAGUUAAAAAAAAGUAUUGCGUUAUUUGCAAGGGACUAAGGACUACAUGCUUACAUACAAAAGAACAGAUAAUCUAGAGAUUAUUGGUUAUUCUGAUUCUGAUUAUGCUGGCUGUAAGGAUACUAGAAAGUUUACAUCUGGGUAUAUUUUAUCAAAUGGACCUAUUUCAUGGAAAGGUCGUAAGCAAUCAUUGAUAGCUUCUUCUACAAUGGAGGCAGAAUAUGUAGCAUGUUAUGAAGCCACAUGUCAUGUAAUAUGGUUGAGAAACUUUGUCUCAGGGCUUCAUAUUAUUGAUUCAAUAAUGAGACCAUUGAGAAUAUAUUGUGAUAAUAGUGGUGCUGUCCGAUUCUCUAAAAAUAAUAAGACUACUGGAGGAUCAAAGCACAUUGAUAUUAAGUAUUUGGUUGUAAGGGAGAAAGUUCAACAUAGAGUUGUCUCUAUUGAACAUAUUAAAAAUACACUCAUGUUGGCAAAUCCAUUGACAAAAGGUCUUCCACCUAAGCUUUUUAUGGAUUAUGUUGCAUGCAUGGGCUUGGUGGCAAGUUUGUCAAUUUUAGAUUGAUUGAAAGUGUAAUGUAUGUGAUCACAUUAUAAUGAGAAUAAAGUUCUUGAUUAUGAUAUAUUGAUGAUUAUUAUGUUACUUUUAUACAUCAUUUUUGUGCACAAUCUAGAUGUUUAAAAGUUGAUGAGACCAUUAUGUGAAUGAAUUAGCAUUAUCACCUUAAUGUUGCUAAUGUCAUAAAAGUCAUUGAUUCAUGUUAAUGGAGGUGUUAGUACUAUAAUCCUUGAAGAAUAUUGGAUCGUUGUAUGAUCCAAUCAUUUCAAUGAUUUGGUGUUAGUGGUUCCAUGAAACAUAAUCUUAAAGUAAAGGAUGCCUAUUUUGAGAAAUUGUUAUGGCCAUAUUAUGUUUUAAUCUAUUACAAAUAUAAUUAUGUGGGCCAAGUGGGGGAUUGUUAGUUUUUUUCCCAUAAUGUGUGGCCAUAUACAAUUAUAUUUGUAUGAAUAUUAUUUAAGGGUAUCAAUUGAUAGGUUGGUGAAUCAAUUAAUUGGGCAUCCAAGAGUCUUAUGUAUGGAAAACUCAAAUUUAUAAAUGGGGAGUUAGAAAAUUUAACUCCUAUGAAUGUGGUGUUACAACUAUUGUAACCCUAUCAUUAUGAAAUUUAUUUGUACAUUAUGUUUAUGAGUAAUAGAGGAAAAUGGAAAAGUAUAACCUAUGCAAUUAUAUAGAUGCAUUCAAGUUCAUAACCUACCAUUACCCAUUAAUUUGUACAUAAUGGGUGUAAAUAAUGAGUAUAACUCCCAUAUAGUCUUUGAUGGGAAGACUAAGAGAUGUACAAUUUUUUUUAUAAGUUGAGGUUUCAAGCCACAUUCUCAUUCUUAUGUCAUUUUUUGUUGUUUAUUUUUAACAACAUACACCAUACAAGUGACCCAUCCACUAUAUGAGAAUAGUGAGUUGAAGACCUUGACAAUACAAUUCACAAGGUGACUCAAUCUCACUUCAUGGAUCAAGGUAAGAAUAUGAUUAUUAUUUUAGUAUUUACAUUUAUUUUGUUUUAUGCAUCCAAAAUUGUUUUUUAAAAUAAUUAUUUCCGCAUAAAGUUUAUAAAAGUUUGGUUAACACUGCUCUUCUUCACUCCAAAACCAGGUUCUUUUCUCUUUUCUCUUUUCCUGCUUCUCAAUUCCCAUAAUUCUCAUUCAUCUUCAAUGCUCUUAAUCAAGUCCAAGAGUUGCAGAUUGAUUUCAUGGGAAGUCAAUUCAAUUAUGAAUGACAAUAAUAAUAGUGGCAAGAAAGGUCAAUUGUAGUUCAUUCUCGAGUCACAAGGUCAAAUAUUGCAUUGGGUUGACUCAUCUAAGUCUUCUUCUUGGUCUUUUAUGUAAACAUGGCGUAGCUUGGAAAAUUAUACUAAUAAAUCCAUCAUUGAUCUCAACAUCAAUAUUUUUUUCUUCAAAUUAUUUGAUAGGAAGCCUCCCCAACGUGGAAUAUUGAAUUUAGUUGUUUAAUGGACUUCAAUCGCAUGCUCUUUGAAAUUAAGCCCCAGUCCAUAUUUUUUGUGUGUGUUCAUAUGGUAACCUGGCCUGUUAAAGAUGUAUUUCAUUUUCUUGAAAAGAAAUAAUUAGUGCAUACAUAUUUUGAGAAGAGAAAAAUUAAGAUUCAAUAUAUUUACAUUAUUAAUUUAUUAAAUAAGUAAAUAAUUAAUUAAUCAAAUAAUUUUUCAAAAAAUUAAAUAAUUAAUUAAUCAAAUAAUUUUUCAAAAAAUUAAAUAAUUAAUUAAUCAAAUAAUUUUUAAAAAAUUAAAGAAAAUAUUUUUGUUAAUUAAAAAAAUUUAUUUAUAAAGGGUUUAGAUAGAAAACAAAAAGAGGUUUUAAAUGUAAAGUUGCAUGGAGAAGUGAAUUGUAUGGUUUGGACAAUUUCAUAAAUAAAUCCAUCAUCAUCAUUGUAAGAUGGUUUACCCUUCUCAAAAUCAUUAUCAAACCUAGGUGUUUUUAAAAAAAUUUAUAAAGAUUUAUAUAUAUAUAUAUAUAUAUAUAUAUAUAUAUAUAUAUAUAUAUAUAUAUAUAUAUAUAUAUAUAUAUAUAUAUAUAUAUAUAUUUUAUGAUUUAUCAUUCUUUAAAUUCUGUUGACUCUUCUAAGUCUAUUUAUUGGUCUUUUAGGUAAAUAUGGUGUACCUUGAAAAAUUCUAUCCAUCAUUGAUUGAGAAGAUGUAUUUCAUUUUCUUGGAAAUAAAUAGUUAGUGCAUACAUAUUUUGAACACUUAACCGAGGAGAAAUAUUAAAUUAAAAAGAAAAAUGGCACCAUGCACUUAUAAGAUUCAAUAUAUUUGUUUAUUUGUUAAAUAAGUAAAUAAUUAAUUAAUCAAAGGCUUUAAAAUAUUUUAUAGAAAAAACUUUUGUUGAUUAAAAAAUAUAUUUUUCAAGCAUCCAUCUAACGUGAAAUCAUGGGAUGCACCUUUUUUUUUUCCACGGAUUCAAUUACUCUUAGAAAAUUAUCCCUUAUUCCUUAUUUUUUGUGCUCAUAUGGUGACCUAUUGAAGAUGUAAUUUGUAUAAAAUACAAUUUUUUAGCCUUAUUUAUAUUUAUAUUUUUCUGUGAUUUAAUAUAUCCCAAUAUUAUUUUAAAACACUUAUUUUUUAUACUUUACUAUAAGUUUAGAAAAAAAAUUUAAAUUUUUUUAUACUUUACCUUGUCAUGUUACAAUGCCCUAACCUUUUCCAAAGGUGGCUUUGGAAAUUAUGGCCCCAUCCACAUUUUGAUUUGUCAUGUUUACAAGUCAUGUAUCUGGGAAUCAAUCCUUUCAAAAACCCACUAUUUGGAGUCACUUUCGGAAACCAUUCCCUUCUCCAUAUUUUUGUGUUCACAUGGUCAGUUGUUGAAGAUGUAUUUGAUUUUUCCUUUUAAAAGAAAUAAUUAGUGCAUAGACAUCUUCAACAUCUAACCAAGGAGAAAUAUUAAAUUAAAAAGCAAAAUGGGUCAACCUCAAGACCCAAGGUCCGAGGAACCCAAGCCUUAACAACCGAUGAAGGGAUGACCUCAAAACCGAAGGUUCUUGCGUACUCUUCGUACUCAAAGGAAGACCUUGACAAAGAGUCGAAGACAUAAAGUGGAAAAUGAAGGUUGACUAACUUGGCUUGCAGGGAAAUGAAGUGGCCUUAUAACAAACACGCACGAUUUCAUAUUCUCAUAAGAUUCAACGUAUUUGUUUAUUUGUUAUUUAAUUAGUUAAUUAAUAAAGUCUUUAAAAAAAAUUAAAGAAAAAACUAUGAAAAAUAUAAGGAAAAUUGGAUAAGAAGUAACCCAAUAAAAAUAUUUUAAGAAAUAUGAGUUACUUUGUAGUCUUUUAAUAAAAAAAUAAAAUACAUUUUAUUUAACAUAAGGAGAUUUAUCUCCAAAAAUUACACCACCUUUCAUUAAAUAAUUUUAUUUUAACAUAAGUUUCUAACAAAAAAACUUCCCAAGAAAAACAUCAAAUAACAUUGUAAAAUCAAUAUUGUAAGUAUGAUAUGAUUUUCCUUAGGUUUCCUCAAUAGCCUGAGAGACUAGUGAUUUGGAACCAGUUUCUAAGCUUUCUGGAGCAUCCCCAACACUUUUGUGAUCAAACUUGAAACUAUAGCACUUGGUCCCUUUGAUCAUGCCAAUCACAUUUGUUGAUCCCUGUGGCUGCUAAAUGUUUUGAGUCUCUAAAUAUCCGCUUCCUUUCCAAAACUCGAAUGAACAAAACUAAGAACUUUAAUGCAAUCACCUUUCUAAAAAAAAUAAUAAUAAUAAAAUUGAAAAAAGAAAAAAUCAACAUGCAUGUUUAAAUAAUCACUCACUUCAUCUAUGUACAUUAAUUUAUUCCCCCUUGUGUUGUGAUCUAUUCAGAACUCAUCUUCUGAAUCACUAGAAGAAGAGUUCCUGGACUUGUCUGGCAUGAAAUUUGGCGGCAAGUUUGGGAACUUCACUGGAAUUCUUGAUGGUGGUGACUUUGUUGAUGAUGGCCCCAAACUUGCUGUGGUUGUUUUCCUCCGUUGUAGAUUUCGAGCAAUAUCAACACAGACCUGAUCAACCAUACCCAGAAAAUCUUUUACUAUAAUAAAUAAUUGAAGCGGGCUUGCCUCUUUGUUCUUUGAAGAUCGUGGUUGAUAAUAUUCUGUUGUUCUCCUUAAGAGCUCCAUUACCCUUGUUUGCUCUUCUCUCACCUCCCUUAAUUCUUCGCCUGCUGCUUCGAGAAAACUUUUCAUCUUCCUCAAAAAUCCUCCAUCACUGUUGGCAAAUGGUGCCACAAAUUGCUUGAUUUCAGUGGAAUGGGCUGUGAGAGUUGAACAUACGCCACCAAAGGCAUUGUAGUCCAUUUCAGCUACUUUCUUUACAUUAGAGAAUUCAGCACUUAGGCUUCCUACCACUGGUAAACCAAUCAUUAUGUAUUCCUUUUCUCUAUCCUCUCUUGAUGCCGAGUUCUCAGAAUACAGGCUACUGUUGCUGCUGUGACUCAAGCUGCGAUUUCGGUUCAAAACACAACGUUUGCCCUCAGAACGGACUACUUCUUCCACAACAAAGUGAAGUAACGUAGUUUUUCCAUCAGUGCUUUUAACAUCAGAAAGCUUUUGAAGAGCAGCGAGGUUAAAAGCUUGGGCAUUCCCUCUGGAAGUUCCAGCAUUCAUGCGAUUGCCUGCCUCGAGUAUGGCUUCCAAAAGUUUUAAGAAAAGUCCACGAGUUCGAAGCUCUUUGCAACCCAAUUCAAGUGUUUGUAAACAUUCCCUGAGAUGGAGAAUCUCUGAGUCAUAAUUCGAUCUGAAAAACAUGGCACUAAGACGUAUGAAUGCUGAUGGAACAGCUUUUAGGAUAUGGUAGAGGAAGGAUUCAGCAUCAGCCAGUCUUGUGGGGUCUCCCUCGAAUGCAAGGAUUUGGGAUUCUUCUUCUUUAGUUGGGGCAAUUUUUGUAAGCUUUUCAAGAGCAUCUGCAUUCAGGUCUUGGCCCUUAAUGAGUGCGUUGAGGAUCUCUUUUCGCGAGAUUGCUAAAGAUCGGAGUACAAUUGCUGUGUUUUGGGACUUUCGACUAUCAAGGAUGAAAAUCUGAGCCGAUUGAAUUGAGCUGGCACCAUUUGGGUUGUUAUGGUUUAUCUGAGGAGAUCUCCCAUUAGCAGCAACAUUUCCAAACAGUGCAUCCAUGAGGUCACCAUCGAAGCUGAGAAAUCAAUUGAAAAUUUUGGAAAUCCAGUAAAAUACCAAACAGAGGUGGUUAUGUAAUUCAAGAGACCAAAUUGGUAAAAUAUUACUACCUGAAAGAACCGCCAUUAAUUUUGUGCCACACCAUUGAAUGAUCGGCGUUAGUGUUCACUUUAUCCCAAUGCAAUGGCUUCAGCGCCACCCGACCAUUUCCAGUCCCUGCCUUGCUAUAUCCAGAUGAAGACUCUCCUAGUUUACUGCCAUUAGGCAUCCCUUUGGUCACCGAUGAGGCUUCUUUUGAUGAUGAAGUAAAACCACCCGCCUUAGGUGAGGGAGGUGGUGGUGGUAUGGGAUUUAUCUUAGCUGGGAUUGGUGGUGAGGGAGGUGGUGGUGGUAUGGGAUUUAUCUUUGCUGGGAUUGGUGGUGAGGGAGAUGGUGGUGGUGGUGGUAUGGGAUUUAUCUUAGCUGGGAUUGGUGGUGAGGGAGGUGGAGUAGCACUUGGCUUCUGUGGAAUUGCCAAUAUAGGUGGUGGGGGUGGGAGAGAUGUGGAUGAUUGAAUUGUUGAUUCAGUUUUUCCCACAGCCUCAAGAGAAAUCUCAGAAGAUUGUGACGAAGGAGGGGGGGCAGAAAACCAAUUCAGAUUUUCCACUUCUUCUUGAACUUCAUCAUAGGAAGUUGAAGACUUUCCUCGUAGCAAAGGAAUUUCUUGUAUAGGCUCAGACUUCGCCCUCCCAUCUCCAUUCCGACUCAUCCUUUUUUCUUCAUGUUUCAGAUUAUGUAGAGCCUGUUUAGGGAAACUAUUCUUCCUGUAAUCACCUUCAAGCUUCUUCCAAUAAAGCACGUCCAAACCAUUCUCAUCGACAAUCAGCCCAUUUAGAUUUCCAUUGAAUCGUGAGAACUCAAUGUGACUCACCACAUUUUCACCUCCACCUCGUGGAUCAUUUUUACCUUUCUGGCUUCUCCCCCGUGCAACCGUGUACUUUUGGAACAGAAUGAAGAACAACCCGGAGACAACUAUUGUGGUGGCUGCUGUUACAGCGACUGCCUUAGCAACAGCAUAGCUUGACGAUGACUUUGAUGAUGGAAUUGAUAGUUGGGAAAUUCGAGGAUUGGGAAUUGGAUUUGUUGGAUUUGGAGGAGGCCGGAACGGAUAGAAAGUUUCAAUAUUCCGAGGGGAAUUGGGUUGACAAGAAGAUAAAUGAAGAAUAGAAAAAAGGGAGACAAAAAACAGGGAGAUGAGAGGGCAUGGCUGAAUCACAGCAGCCAUGGAGAAAAGUUGGAUACAAUUGCAGAGAGGAUUAAAACGCACUCUGCUAGUCUUUUCUUUAUUUCAGGCAAUGCUGGUUGAUGUUUUGUCUUGUGCUUUUUGGGGUUUGGUCGUUGACAGUUUCAAACAGGAGUAGUUAGUUGGACCUGUUCUCAUUUUGGUAUUUCCCGGGCUUUUGUAUUUGAAAAAUCUACGAGCCUCAAUUGAAUUUGGAGGAUUCUUUUAUGAAUCUGAGGUGAAACAAAUUCAAACUUCAUCCCAGUAUUGAUUUUGGAAUUGAGUCGGUCUGAUUUAAAGCUUAUAUAUUAAAAAUAUUUAAUUACAAAGGUUUUUUAGUCUUUUUAGACGGAAAUAAUAUGGAUUGCUUUCUUGAAGCGUAAACUUGCAGCAAGGGAAGUGAUUGUCCUAGUCAUUGUCAUUGUCAUAGACGAGUCUUUUGUAGUGCUAAAAGACACAGAGCUGGGUGGUCGGCGACGACCCCAAUAUAAGACUUGAGCCCUGUGCUAAAAGGAGUUGCUUGACUUUGUGUGCUUCCAGGAAACAUUGAUUUCCAGGAAAUUAACUCUAAAAAAUAUAAUAAAUUUAUAAGGCCUUCAUUGAUAAAAUUAAUAUUAAUAAUAAUUAAGUGUAUUUAUAAUAAAUUUCAAGAGGUUUCAAUGAAAUUAACUCUAAAAAUUGAAAUAAUUAAUAUAUUUUAAAAAAAUUUAAAUGAAAAAUAUGGAUGAAAAUAAAAUAACAUAUAAAAUAUAAACCAUCCAUCUUUGAUACAAAGGACAAAAAUUUUGGAGAAAAAUGUUUCAUCAUUCCCUUGAUAAAAAAACUUACAUUUGUUUUAACCAUAAUAAUAGAAGAAAAAAAAGGGUAAAAGAGAAAAUGGAAGGUGAAAAAUGACGCAAAUAUAUUAAUUUCAUAUAUGCAUUCUGUUAUUUUUUUAAAAUUUAUAAAAAUAUUAAAAUAAGGAUAUUUUAGUUAUUAUGUUUUAAAAAAGUAACCAUGCUCCCUAUCUAAAAUAAAAUACAUUUUAAGUUUGUUUGUUUUGAAAAACAAGUUUUUCAAAUAUUUCAAUUCUAUUGCACCACCUCCCGAUUUUUUCAAAAAUACAUACGUAGAAGAUAGAAAGAGUUUUUAUCUCAUAUAUUAAAAAUAUUUAAAUUAGGAAGGUCUUUUAGAUAGGAAAGAAAAUCAAAUUAUGUGAUGAAUAAUUGAAUAUAAAUUGUCCCUUUUCAGACGUAAACUUGGUUUGUUAGGUUAGAAGAUAGCCAGAUGGGUGGUCAGUAAGAGAAUCAUGUGGACACCUAUAUUAUAGACUGAGAUUGAAAAAGAGUUGCUAGUUUUUUUACGGGAAGAGUCUUUGAGUCAGUCUGGAACUAUCUAGGAUAGUUUUUUGUUCUCUACGAAUAAAAAAUAUAAAAAAAAGAAUGUUUGAUAAUUAAAAUUGUUUUAUGUUUUAUAUUUUUAAGAACCGAAAAGAAGAUGUUUUUAAAAAACAUCUUCUAAUUAUUUUAUAUUAUUUUUAUAUGUUUUUUUAAAGUUAUUUUAAGAAAUAAUUAUACAAAUAUGUAAAAUGAUUAAAAAUAAAAUACUAGAUAUAAAAAUUAUUUUUAAAAUAUGUUUUAAAAUAUUAAAAACAUGUUAAAAACAUUUUAGGUAUUCAAAUAGAAUUUUGUUUUACAAAAAUCAAAGAACGGUUUUUAAAAAUUGUUUUUAAAAACUAUUUUUCAAAAUUCUUUUUGAAAGCAGUUACCAAACAUACCAUUUUUUUGCAUUGAGAAGUGUUUUUGUUUUUUGAUAUUUUGUAAAACAAAAAAUUUAUUUGUUAAUUUGAAAUAUUUUUGUGUUGAAUAUGAAAUAUUUUUAACCUAUUUUUAUUUUUUCGUAUUUUUAAAUAUAUUUUAAAAACAAUUUUUGUUUGUAGUAUUUUAUUUUGAAUUAUUUUUCACAUUUAUAUAAAUAUUUUUUUAAAUAGUCAUAAAAAAUAAAUUAAAAAAAUUAAAGGAUAUUAUUUAAAAUACCUUAUGUUCUAUUUUUAAAAAUAAAAACUAUUUUUAUUUUCCAUUUAUCAAAUGUAAUUUUUUUCCUUCCGAAAACAAAAAAUUGUUUUCAAAAAUAGUUACUAGAGAAUGCCCUAAGUACCAAAGUAUUUUGUGGAAGAAUAUAAGGUAAAUUUUUUAUCUUUUGUAAAAUUUUUAUUUUUAAACAUAUAAAAUAGAAAAUAUAUCCAUAUGUAAUUGUAGUAAUUAUUAUAAAUGUUUUAUUUGAAUUUUAGAUAAUUUAAAAAAAUUUCCUAAAAUUUUAUUUAACUUUUAUAAUUUGUUAAGGUCUAGGUUUUUGUCAAGUCUUCAUCUACAUUUAUGUAAAAUUAUGUAGGUUUUCAAAGAUUCUCGGAAAAAUUUAUUUCAUUCUCAUUUUGAUUAUACUGGUUUGUUUUUGUCAAGUCUUUGUCUAGUUUUAUGUAACAUUUUGUAGUUUUCUAAAAAAUCUUGGAAAAUUUUAUUCCAUUCUCAUUUUGAUUGUGUUGUUUUGUUUUUGUCUUCAUCUAGUUUGGUGAGGAGUCAAUAAAUUCAUAACGCGUAAAUCAUAACUUAUUUAAUUUGUUGACUAAGUUAAUAAAUAUGAUUUAAUAAUUUAAUUUAAGUAAUUAAAUAGAUUAAACAUCUUUGAUAAAAUAAUCUAAUAUCAUAAUUUAAUAUAAAAAAUAAUUUUAAGUAUUAAGUCAAAAUGCUUACUCAUUCUUAAUUUUAAAUCUUUUUUACCUAUUAUGCUCACAUGAAAUCUAAUACAAAAAAUUUUAUAAUCUAACUUUGGGUUUUUUUUUCUUUAAUGUUUCAUUAAUUUGAACUCUUAACUAAACAUAAAUAUUUAAGUGCAUAUUUAUUUUUAUAAUGAUAAGUAUUAAAACAAUAUAAAUUAAAUAAUGUAAUAAUUUUUAAAUUAUAAAUAAUAAGAUAGAUAGUGUUUUUAUGUAAAUAAAAUAAAAUACUAUAUUUUUUGUUUUGUUUUAAAUAUGUCUUCACACUUAAAUAUUAUAUAUGUUUUCAAAUAUUAGUUCAUUUAAAUUUAAACUUGUCCUCAUUUCUUUUGAUGAUAUCAAAUAUAAAAGAUAAAAUGUUAUUAAAAGUUUGAAUUAUAUUUAUAUUUCAUAGUUUUUUUACAUUAUUGGUUUGACCACAGUUCAAUUAUCAGUUCCAAUCAAUAAAUCGGUAAUUUUUUUUAUUCAAUGACUGGUCUAGUUCUAAAAACAUUGAUUUAAUGUAUUAAAACAAUUUUAAUAUUUAAAGUAAAAAUAAAAUAUUAUGUUUAUUAAAUAAUAAGUAUUAAGUUUUAUUAGUGAUUAUUUAAAUUUUUAAAAGUGGUUUUAAGAAUUUGUCAAACACCUAAUUUAUCUCAAAAAACACUUUCAUGUAUCACAUAUGAGAGACUUUUAACUUUUUCAAAAUCAUUAUCAAACAUACUUAUGAAAAAUUUUACAAAGAUUUUUUGGUACAUAUUUUUUGUAAGUUGUCAUUGUUUACAUUGGGUUGACUCUUCUAAGUCUUCUUCUUGGUCUUUUAGGUAAACACAGCGUAGCUUGGAAAAUUAUAUGAAUAAAUCCAUCAUUUAUCUCAACAUCAAUAUUUUUUUCUUCAAAUUAUUUGAUAGGAAACCUCGGAAAAUAUUGCCUUGAAAAAUGUGGUUGUAUUCACAUUUUUUCCACGAUAGUAGAGGUCUCAUAUUUUGGCUAUGAACUUUUUGGAAAAUCUAUUAUUAGAAGUAAACAACACGUAACUAAUUAAGUCAUUAAAUUAUUUAGAAAUAGUUUUUUUAAAGGUUCUUAGAAAACUUUACAUUUUUAUUUUGAUUUAUAAUGUCUAAAAAUCCUAUAUUACACUAUAAAUUAUUUUAAAAAUAUGCUAUUAGGAGUAAAGGAAACAAGAAACUUAUAUCAGUAAGAAAAAAUUUCUAUCUUUACCUUUUGAAAUUAGAGAAACUAUAUUUUUUUUAAUUAUAAGAAAUGAUGGAAAAAUAGUCUAAUUGAAAAAAAAAAAAAGGUAAAAGAGAAAAAUGUUUGUUUUAAAACAUAAUUUUUAAAUAUAAACCUAAAAAUAUCAAAUGUAUUAUCAUUAAUAUUUGAAAUUAUCAAAAUUUGUGAGAUAAUAAUUUCAUUUUGUUCUCCAUUAUAUAUUUAUGUUUAUAUUAAAUUUAUUUUCAUUAAUUUUUUUUAAUAUAUUAUUAUUUUGUGUUUAAUGGGAUAAUAUUUUCAUUUUUUUUUUGUAUAUUAUCCAUUUAUGUUUAUAUUAAUUUAUAUAUAUAUAUAUAUAUAUAUUAUCAUUUUGUGUUUAAUGUACAAUAAUUUUUUUUUUUGUCUAUUAUGUAUUUAUGUUUAUAUUAAAUUUGUUUUAUUAAUUAUCUUUUAUAUAUAACCAUUUUUUAUUUAAUGUGUUUAAAAAAAAUUAAAAUUUAAAAGAUGUAAUGAGAGAAAGUGUAGUGAGAAAUAAAUAAAUAAAUAUGUGUCGAAAACUUAGAUAAGGUAACAUGGAGGAGAAAAGAGAAAAAAAAAAUUGACUCAAUUGUGUCAAAAACCCGUAAAGGUUUUUGUGUGAAUCUCAUUCUUUUUAUUCCAUUUCUUCUAUCAUCUCUUAUAUUUUCCUUUUUCAUGUAAGCACGUUAAAAGUUUACCAAAGUUGCGAUUAAUUAAAAAAUAUUGCCUGUUCACAUUUUGAUUCAUUCAUGAUGUUUAAAUGUUUUGCAUGUAUUUGGGUUCUAGCCCUUCCAAAAAUCCACUAAUUUUUGUGUUUUGGAAAAUCCUCACCUAGUUCAUAUUUUUUGUGUUCUCAUUCUUCAUUAAGUUAGAAGACAAUCUUAGUGAGUGUCAAUGUUCACAUUACUUUUAUUGCAAUCCACUUGAGCGGAGACAAGGAAAUUUCAUUCAUGGUGGUCUUCCCACUAAAUUAAGGUGAUUGAGAUUUGUUUCGAUGGGUCAAUAUCAUGAAUUAUGUGAACACCAAUAUUAGAGGUUGUAGUAGUAGACUAUAAAAGUGUUGCCUAACUUGGGGUGUUUUCCGGAAGAGAGCCUCUUAGACACCAAUAUUCGAAAGCACUUAUCUUGAUUAUGGGGGUAAAAAAUGAAGUAGUUUUUGUUUUAGCUUAUGUUUGGUUCUUGGAAAACACUAAGGAAAGAAAAAAAAUGUAAAAGAAAAUGAUUUUUUUCAUGUUUAAUUAUCUUAUGAAAAAUAUCAAAGAAAACCAAAUAUAAUUAUAACUAGUUAGAAAUUUAUAUAUAUUUAAAUUAUUUAAUCUUUAUAUUAAUGAGUUAAAAUAAGUAAAAUGAGUUUAAAAUAACAAAUAAAAAUAAUUUAUAGACUCUUAAUCUAUUUUUUAUUUUCCUUUACUUUUUAUUUCCUUUUACUUUUCCUUUGCAUUUUUUUUCCCUUGCAUUUUUCCUUAAAUUUUUUGAGAACCAAACAUAGCCUUAGGAAACAAAAGAAGUAGUCCAAAAGUAUUUUGUAUAUGAAUAUAAGGUAAAUUCCUAUCUUAUGUACAAUUUAUAUUUUUAAAAAUAAAAAAUGGAAAAUAUAUGUACAGACAACCUUAAUAAUUAUCAUAAAUAUUUUAUUUGAACUUCAAAUUUUCUUUUCAUUUUUCAUUUUAUGAUUUAAAAGUUUUAUUUUUUCUAAAAUUUCAUUCAACUUUUAUAAUUUGCUAUUGUUCGCUUUUGUUUUUGUCAAGUCUUUGUCUAGUUUUUCAAAGAUUCUUGGAAAAUUUUAUCUCAUUCUCAUUUUGAGCGUGUUGUUUUGUUUUAGUCACGUCUUUAUCUAGUUUUAUAAUGAGUCCACAAAUCCAUACUGCGUAAAUCAUACGUAAUUUUUUUUUUUUGACUCAUUAUGAAUAUUUUAUUUAACUUUUAAAUUUUCUUUUAAUGAUCAUUUGCGUUUGUGAAGGGUCAUUCUUUUCAUUUUGUUUGACUUCUCAAAUCUCAUUUUCAUGUGAAACUUUGUAGGGUUUUCCAAAGGCCCUUGGAAAAUAUUGCCUUAUUCAUUAUGAAAUCUUCCAAAAAUCCAUGACGGGCAAUAAAUAAGGUAUAAGCUUAAUUGAGUGAUUACAUUAUUUAGAACUUAUAUAGGAUUGAUUUUAGGUAAAGCAUUCUUAAUUUGUAGUAGUCUUUGUAAUUAGUGUUUUUAUUAGAAAAACUUUUUAAGAAAAAUCAAUUAGUGCUUAGAUAUAAUAACAAAAAAAAAUAUAUAUAUUUUUAUAGUAUUUUUAGUAAUGUGUUAUAUAUAACAAAAAAAAAAAAAACAUAAAAUCUCCUAACAUGUGAUCAUCCAUGAAUCACUUUAGAUGAUUAACUAAAAUUUUAAAAUAACUUUAUGAUUAUCAUUCUUUAAUUUCGGUUGACUCUUCUAAGUCUACUUAUUGGUCUUUUAUGUAAAUAUGCUAUAGUUUGGAAAAUUCUAUCCAUCAUUAAUCAACAUCAAUCGUUGUUUUCUUUAAAUGAUUUGAUGGGAAAGCCUACCUCACAUGGAAUAUGGAGUGCCUUUGUUUAAUGGAUUUCAAUUGCAUGCUCCUGGAAAUUAUGCCCUAAUCCAUAUUUUUUUGCGUUGAUAUGGUGAGUUGUUGAAGAUGUAUUUCAUUUUCUUGAAAAGAAAUAAUUAGUGCAUAAACAUUUUUGAAAUAUUAAAUUAAAGAGGAAAAUGACACCAUACUCCCAUAAGAUUCAAUAUAUUUGUUUAUUUGUUAAAGAAGUAAAUAAUUAAUUAAUCAAAGACUUUAAAGGAAAUAUUUGUGUGAAUUAAAAAUAUAUAUUUAAAUUAUAAAGGAUUUAGAUAGGAAAGAAACAGAGGUUUUAAAUGUAUAAACUUGCAUGCAACAAAGGGAAUUUGUUGUCAUUGUCUACUGCCUUCUUUGUUACGUUAGAAGAGAGACAGCUGGGUGAUGAGCAUUUGUGUUCGAUCACAUUUACUUUUAUUGCAUGCAGUCCGCACUUAACUGAAAACAAGAAAUUAAUUCAUGGACCACGAGGACAUUAAUAUUAAUAUUAGAGACGUGAGCAGUAGACUGACUUGACUUGGUGUGUGCUUCCGGGAAGAGUCUUUCUUAGUCUUAGGCACCAACUAAUAUUUAUAUUUAUAUUUGCAUUAUAAAAGUGUGGUAAGGUUUAAUUGAUUGCGCAGAAUUAAAGAUGGCGUCCUCCAUUAUUAUUUUUACAGCAGUGGUGGUAGUUACCAUCACCAGUACCAUGAUGAUAAUGUUAUUCCCCCUUGCCAAUGCAAUAUCAUCACCAUCUUCAUCAACUGAUGAGGCAGAGGCUUUGCGCAGCACCGGUUGGUGGAAUUCUACCUCUGCUCAUUGCCACUGGGAUGGUGUAUUUUGCAAUAAUGCCGGAAGAGUGACUGGAAUCGCCCUUUACGGUUCAGGAAAAGAAUUGGGUGAGCUUAGCAAAUUGGAUUUUUCUUCAUUUCCCAGCCUGGUUGAGCUCUCCCUUUCUGACUGUGGACUCAAUGGUAGCAUCCCACACCAAAUAGGUACUCUUACUCAACUCACCUAUCUUUCUCUCGGUCUUAACAAUCUUACAGGUGAGCUACCUCUUUCCUUGGCUAACCUCACUCAGUUGGAGGUCCUUUCCUUUUAUUCUAAUCGACUACAUGGUUCGAUUCUUCCUGAAAUUGGGAAAAUGAAGAAUUUGACUGUUUUGGAUUUGGGUAAUAACAACCUUACUGGUGUCAUCCCUUCCUCUUUUGGUAAUCUUACCAAUCUGACAUUUCUUUAUCUUGAUGGUAAUAAAAUAAGUGGUUUUAUCCCUCCUCAAAUUGGGAAAUUGAAGAAUCUGAGGUUUCUCUAUCUUUCUUCUAACGGACUACAUGGUCCAAUUCCUCCUGAAAUUGGGAAAUUGAAGAAUUUGGAGGUGCUUUAUCUUUUUUAUAACAAACUACAUGGUCUAAUUCCUCCUGAAAUUGGGAAUAUGAAGAAAUUGAUUUUUUUGAAUCUACGUAGUAACAACCUUACUGGUGUCAUCCCUUCAUCUUUUGGUAAUCUUACCAAUCUGAAUUCUCUUACUCUUCGAGGUAAUCAAAUCAGUGGUUUUAUUCCUCCUGAAAUUGGGUAUCUUUUGAAUUUAUCAUAUCUAGAUCUCAGUGAGAAUCAAAUCAGUGGUUUCAUCCCUGAAGAAAUAGUGAAUUUGAAGAAAUUGGGUCAUUUGGACAUGAGUAAUAACUUAAUACGUGGAAAGAUACCUUCACAAUUGGGAUAUUUGAAAGAAGUAGAAUACUUCAAUCUCUCCCAUAAUAACCUCUCUGGCACAAUUCCUCAUUCUAUUUCUAAUAACUACAUGUGGACGUCAAUUGAUUUAUCACACAAUCAGUUGGAGAGUCAGUCCACAACUCCACAUGAGGCAUUUGGCCACGACAAAGGUUUAUGUGGUGGAAUCAACGGUUUGUCGCAUUGUAAGAAAAGACACCAAAUCGUUCUCAUCGUUGUUAUUUCUUUAUCUGCAACCUUGUUGCUUUCAGUUACAGCCCUUGGGUUUCUCUUCCAUAAACAAAAGAUAAGAAAAAAUCAAUUAUCGAAGACAACAAAGGCAAAAAAUGGAGAUUUGUUUUCCAUAUGGGACUAUGAUGGUACGAUUGCAUAUGAUGACAUCAUCCAAGCAACUGAAGAUUUUGACAUCAAAUACUGUAUAGGCACCGGAGGCUAUGGGAGUGUUUACAGAGCACAACUGCCUAGCGGAAAAGUGGUUGCCUUAAAAAAACUUCAUAGUUGGGAAAGAGAGGAUCCAACUUACCUGAAAAGCUUUGAAAAUGAAGUUCAAAUGUUAUCAACAAUACAACAUCGUAAUAUUGUGAAACUUCAUGGCUUUUGUCUACAUAACAGAUGCAUGUUUCUCGUUUACAAAUAUAUGGAAAAAGGAAGCUUGUAUUGUAUGUUGAGGGAUGAAGUUGAGGUCGUGGAAUUGGAUUGGAUUAAAAGGGUAAAUGUUGUUAAAAGCAUUGCUAGUGCUUUAUCUUACAUGCAUCAUGACUAUGUCAUGCCCAUCAUUCAUCGAGACAUAUCAAGUAACAACAUUUUGCUGGAUUCUAAGCUUGAAGCUUGUGUAUCGGAUUUUGGCACUGCAAGACUGUUAGAUCCCUACUCAUCCAAUCAAACCCUUCUUGUAGGCACUUACGGUUAUAUUGCACCAGGUAAACUAGACUAUACUCUUCACUAGUUUUUAAUUGCUUAUGAAUAUUUUCAAUUGUCACACCCUCAAAAAAAUUCAAAUGUUUUUUAGAGAAUUCAAAACAUUUUAUAAGUUUUCUUUAUAUACAAAACAUAAAUACUCAUUUUUUUCCCUAUAUUUUGUAGAGCUUGCUUAUACUAUGGUUGUGACUGAAAAAUGCGACGUUUAUAGCUUUGGGAUGGUUGCAUUGGAGACAAUGAUGGGAAUGCAUCCAGGAGAACUUGUCACCUCAUUAUCAUCUUCAUCAACUCAAAACACAACAUUAAAGGAUGUAUUAGAUUCACGUCUUUCAUCUCCUAAAAGUACAAGAGUUGCUAAUAAUGUAGCUCUUAUUGUGUCAUUGGCGCUCAAAUGUCUCCAUUCUAAUCCACGUUUUCGUCCAUCCAUGCAAGAAGUGUCUUUGAAACUUGUUUCUACAAAGUCAUUCCCACAACCCAUCAGUGCAAUAUCACUUUUGCAACUAAAAGACGAAGUUAUUUAAAUGACAUGUGAGUUGGUAUGUAAUUGGAGUGAAGAUGUUUAUUUUCCAUUCUUCUUUUUCAUGCAUGUUAGUAAUGAGAAUUUUAUAGUAUAUGUAUCCCUUCUUUCCUAUUAAUUACUCAAAUGUAGCUUUUCUAUUUGUUUUCCAAAGUGACAAUAGUGUAAUGUGAUGAAAAAAAUUAUAUCAAAUUGAUACAUAAUGAUAUGUAAACUUUGAAUGAUUCAUAAUGGUUAAUCUUUAUAAUGAUCCUUCUUUGGAGAAGAAUCCUUCUUUUUCUUUUAUCAAUUUUAACAUAUAUACCAUUUUCUCAAUUUUAAUAUUCUAAUCAAUCAAAUUAGUGAUAUUUGUUGUGAAUGUGAUUGGUAGCUAUUAUCAAAGGCAUAUGAUAAAAUUGGGGAAAAAACAAAUUGAAUAAUUUCAAUAUGAUUGUCUCUACAUGAUGAAGUUAUUCUAUUUAUUUUUAAAAUACUAUUUUACCCAUUUUUCCUAUACAUUCUCUAAAAUUUUGUAUAAAAUAAAAUUAUUUGAUUUUGUAUAAGAACACUUAAAAAUGUUGAUGGGAAUGUGAAAUAUUAGGAUGACACUCAAACACCAAAUGACAUACUUGUGAUGCAAUAUUAAGAAAUUAUCAUAAUAUUUUACGAUUUGUCUCUACUAUGUAGUCACCUAUAAAUGUCAAUUUUAAAAAUAUUUAAUGAUCAAAGAAAAUUAAGUGAGAUAUGAUUAAAAAAUUCUAAAAAUUUUAUUUGCCCAUUCUAGAAUAAUAGAAAAGAUAUUCAUACUACUAAUUUUAUUAAGAUGAGAUACCUAGUUGAUAUAGUGUCCUUGCUUUUACAUAAAAUUAGACAUUAGAUUUACUUAAAUUAUUUUCAUAAUAGUGGCAUAUUUAUAAAAUAUAUGAAACUAAUUAAAUUGAAUAAUUGAGGUAACUAUGAAUAUAAGUAGGUCAUUAAUGCUCCUCGUUUUAUUGAAAUAUUAUAAAAGAAGCAUUAUUUCGGUUUCAUAUCUAAAGUUUUUUUUUUUUUUUUUUCCAACUCCAAUUGGUGUAUAUAGAUCCGAUUUUGUAGUGCAGGCCGGCAGCCAAUAGGAUUUCCUUCACAGAAAAGAAUGGACACAUGAACUACACAAAAACCAGACCAAGAAAUGAGUGUGGUGUUCUCUCCUGCCUUGGCUGGAAUUCCCACAUCACAACUGCCCUUCUUCACUCCAAAACCAGGUUCUUUUCUCUUUUCCUGUUUCUCAAUUCCCACAAUUCUCAUUCAUACUUAUUGUUAUUUCCCCCUUGUUCAGUUUUAAUAUGUUCGUAUCCUAAUUGAUCUUCAAUGCUCUUAGUCAAGUCCAAGAGUUGCAGAUUGAUUCUUGGGGCGUCAAUUCCAUUACUAAUAGCAGUAAUAAUAGUGGCAAGAGAGCUCAAUUGCCGGGUCACAAGGUCAAAUAUUAUUAUUCUUGUAUAAAAGAAAAUAAUUUUUAAUCUUUUUGUUUUAGAAAAAAUAAAAAAUAGUGUGGCUUUUUCAAAUAUAUUCAUCCCACAACUUCUUAUCCUAAUUUUCCCUAAAAUAUAUGAUAGAAUAUUUAUCUUAUAUAUUAAAAAUAUUUAAUUACAAAGGUCUUUUAGUCUUUAAACAUAAACUUGCAGCAAGGGAAGUGGUUGUCAUGGUCUACAUUUUUUGCGAUGCUAGAAGACACAGAGCUGGGUGUUAUGCAUUGAAAAGAAUCAGGUGGAUGCCAAUACAAGAGACUUGAGCCGUGUACUAAAAAAGAGUUGCUUGUCUUGGUGUGUUUGUAGGAAAAAUUGAUUAUUAUUAUUAUUAUUAUUGCAAUGUGAAAAAUAGAUGUACUAAGUGUAGAUUCUAAAAUUUGACUUCAAUUUAUUUUUAGAUUUUGAAUUUAAUUUUAUUCUUAAAUUUCAAUUCAAUUACACUUGAUUUUUAUUUCGAUUUACUUGUGACAUUUAAAUAUUAUUUUAUAUUAUUUUAUUUUAUUUUUAUUUCAUAUUUUAUUUUACCUUUUUUUCUUCUUUUUUGUUUUUCCCUUCUCUUCCCUCUUCUCGCUUAUCCUCACAUACCCACACUUUCCCCCCAUACCUCUCACGUCAGGAGACACCUCUCCUCUCCUCGCUUUUCCUUUUUUUCUCUCUCCAUUUUUUCUUCCUUUUUCUUCCCCUCAUUUUUUUCCUUUCUUUCUCCUCAUUUUUCCCUCUCUUUCUCUUCUUCCUCUCGCCCAUCACUCUACCCACACCUCCGGCACGGCACCAUCUCCCCUACUCCCCCAUCUUUCUCCAUUUUUUUUUUCUUUCUCAACCCAAACCCACUACACUACACCACCUAUUGCGCCAGUCACCGUGGACCAGUGGGCGACGCCACCUCCGACAGCCAACGACCACCUCCCAAUCCCAUCAUCUCAUCUCUCGUCUCAUCGCUUUUUCAUUUUUAUUUUAUUUUAUUUUGUUUUAUUUUCACAACAUACAGCAUCCAACAACCUUCCUUCAUCUCCAAAAAAAUGUGUAAGUUUAUUUAUGUAUAUUUUUUUUUUUUUGCUUUGAUUUCAAUAAUAAUUGUUAGUAAGAUUUGGGAUUGUUAAUUAACAUUAAACUUGGAUCCAUUUGUUAUUGGUGAAAUUUCUUGGAUAAUAUUUAAUAUGAUAAUAUUGUGGUAUAUUUUUGUUACAUUCAGACUUUAUAUAUUAAAUUGCGGCUUAAUUUAUUAAAUUAGGUUUGGAUGAUGAGAUAUUAAAUUUUUACAUUUAAUUGAAUUUAUUUUAUUUUAUUACAUUUUGAGCUUGAUUGAUUAUGUUUGUAUUGACUAUUAAGUUAGAAUUUUGAACUAAGGCUUAUAACAUAUAAGAUAUUUUUUUUGGGCUUUAUUUAUUAAUUUAGGCCCAAUUUUAUUGAUAAAAUUUAUUGGGCUAAUUUGAGAUUGCUUUUGGGCUUAUUAAAAAACUUUGUACAUUUUUAAAAAUUUAUUUUGGUCUGAUUUUUGUUUUGUUGUGCCCAUUCCUCAAUUUAUUUGUUUAAUAAAAAUUGUUAAGAAAAUUGAUUUUUUUUUAAAAUAAAAUUGUCCACAAGGUUAAUUUUUAAUAAAAUUGUUAAAAAAUGAUUUUAAAUAAAUCCUCUUUCCUUAAUUAGAAUGAGAUUAAAAGUAAUUUUUCUUAAUUGGGGUUUUAAAUAAUUUUUUUAAUGAGAAUAGGAUCAGGGUCAUUUUCGUAAAUAAAGUUUGUAAAGAAAUUAAUUCCUUUGUAACUAAAAUCAAAUUGAAAUACUUUUCUAAAUAAAGUUGUAAAAAUCCAUUCUUUUUUUUAGUAAAAGCAGGUAAAAAUUAUUUUUAUUGUCAAAUUAAUUUUUUUUUUAAAUUCUUUUAAUAAUAGUAAGUGUAAAUAACUUUCUUAAAAUAAGAAUUAAAUCAAAUCACUUCUUGAAAAUAAAUUAAAGCCUUUUUGGUAAAUAAAUAAAUUAAAAUCACUAAUUUGAAAUUAUUUUUAAUGGACUCCUUCAGAAUUUCUAGAAAAACCAAAUUUUGAAAUAUCAAUUUUUAAAUUAGUUUAAUAAAUUAAUUUGUUUAAUUCUCAUGUCAUUUGUUUUGUACAUUCUUAUGAUAUGACUUUGUCAUUAUGUUUAUGUAUAUUUAUUUGUGUGUCCUUAAUCUUGGUAUUCAUAAUUAAUUAAUUAAUUAAUUAUCAUAAUUUCCUCGAUUCGUUUAAUAGACACGGUAGGUAUAUGAGUUUAGAGGUAUGUUAUGACUUAUCAUCGUAUCUUCUCAAUAGGUAACUUGACCCUGAAGGUAAACUUAGUUUUUGUAGAUAUGUCUUUUCCAAAUAAGGAAUCAUAUAAAGUUUUCUUUCUUAUUUUAUCUUUUUUUAAAAAAAUAAAUUAAAAUAAGUGGCAAAUCCAAUUCUUUUAUAAAAAAAAAUAAAAAAUUUCACAAAUAAAAAGUAAGUCUUACAGUUGGAGUGGGGACACAUGUGGAGGAGUGGGGACACAUGUGGAAAACACGGUUUAUAGUAAAUUUGAAAAGACAAUCUCCAAAGUUGGCUUUACCAUUAUUAUUAUUUUUUUUUUAUUUUAUCAAAGAUAAGUUGAAAAAAUAUAUUUUAUAAAUAUAAUAAAUUUAUAGGGUGCUAAUGGAUGAAAUAGUCAAGUGUAUUUACAACAAAUCUCAAGAGGUCCAAAAUAUGUUUUUUUUUAAAUAAAUGAAAAAAAUGAAUGAAAAUUAAAUAAAAUAUAAAAUAUAAACCCUUCAUCAUUGAUACAAAGGACAAAAAUUUAGAAGAAAAAUGUUUCAUCAUUACCUUCUCUAAUUAAAAAAAAAAACCUAUAUUUGUUUUAACCAUAAUAAUCAAAGAAAAAAAAGGUAAAAAAAGAAAAUGGAAGGUGAAAAAUGAAAGUUUCCGGUCAAAAUAUAUAUAUAUAUAUAUAUAUAUAUAUAUAUAUAUAUAUAUAUAUAUAUAUAUAUAUAUAUAUAUUCUAAAUUUUCAAUCUAAACUUGUGUUAAAAAUAUUUGUCAAAAAGUAGUGUGUCCAUACAACAUCAAGUUUCACUUUGUUAUUAUUAUUAUUUGUUUUAAAACCAUAAUUAUUAAAUGUGAUUUUAGUUUUAAAACUAUAUUAAUGAGGGUAAAACCAAUAUUGGUAACUAUGGUUUUAAAUUUAAACCUAAAACCAUAAUUGAUAACCGUAAUUUUUUAUAUUAAACAAAAAAAGUUAAGUGAAUGUGUAGACCCGGGAGGAGUUUUUGGGGAUUUUCUACAUGAUUAUUCUUCUGACCACCCCGGGAAUUAAGUUGAUGGGGGCGGCGAGAUUGGACAGGAAACAGAGAGUAGGUAUGAGCUUGUAGAGGAAGUUUUCGGAGGAGGGGGACUGCUGUUCGCCGGAGAUGGGAGCAAAAGGGUAAAAGGAAAAGAAAGAAAAAAAGAGCAGAGAGAUGCAGGGAGAGGAAAAAGAAAGGGGGGAAUGCAGGGAAAGGGAGCGAGAAGAAAGGGGGCCUCCAGAAUUUUUCCCGAGUAAGCUUUUCCAUUAUGUUUUUCUUUCUUUCUUUGUUUCUCUUCGUAUAUUAUUAUUGAGAUGCAUUGUUGUUGAUUUCUGGAUGGGUUAUCCUCUGUCCCUCCUGGCCGGCUGUUCCUCUUUUGCUUAUGUGUAUGUUUGAAGAUUGAUUUAAUUCCGUUUUACCUUCUCUGGGAUAUUUUCAAAGAAAAGAGACUUUCUGACUCACUCUUCUUCAAGCCCACUAACUAAGAGAGGAAACAUAGUUCUUAAUGUUUCCUUUAUUUCUCUCCUUCCAUUGCUCUGUUUUUGCUGCUAUUCUCUCUGUUUUUCUUGCUUGGUUUUUCCCGAAUGUGAAGCCGUAAAGGGGAAUGGGUCUAUGGGAUAUUAUCACGCAACUCAACCCUCACCAGUCACCAUUCUCCCUUUACUGCAUCUUCUUCUCGAUCCCCCCAUUUCCCCCGCUUUCUACUCUAUAGAUCAAAACUACGACUACGGCAAAUUAUAGAAGCGGAUGCUGUGUUGAAAGCCCAUCUCUAUGACUGAAGCUGCUGCCGGUGGCGCUACUACUAUCCAUGACCUACCGGAUGUGAUUUUGUCGAGCAUAUUGGCGAGCGUGACCGGCACCAAGGCAAGGAACGCCGCGGCGCUGGUUGGCUGGAAAUGAUUGGUGUCGGAGAGGGGCACGCGGACCUCCCUCACCCUCCGUGGCAACGCCGUUCACAGCAAUCUGUACAGGAUCCCGACUAACUUUCAGGCCGUGACUCACCUUGACUUCUAGCUCAUCUUCUUUGCCAUGCCUUUCUGAUGGUGACCCCGCUCACUGUCCAUGCUCGCACUCCGGCCACUCUCCAACUCCUGGCUCCCCAAUGGCUCAAUCUCACCCACAGCAGCCAUUUCGUCCAUCAAACAGUCACUCCCAGAGAUGAAGCCUGCCACUCAUCACCAUUGCCGCCUUCCUCUUCAUCAAGAUCUCCGUCCAGCGCUGGAGACGACGGUGAGACCAGCAGCGCCGGCCAUGGCAGCGGCGGUGCGAGCGCCAGCAGAAACAGCAACUGUUGGUUUUUAAACCAGAUAAUUAAAAGAAAAACGGAAGCCAAAAAAAUUUUCUCAAAUUUUUUUUUUUCUCAAUGAUCAAUACUUGUAUUAAUUUAAUGAAAUAACAAAUAUAGGUAAUUUAGAAUUGUACCUUGCGAUUAGGCUGAUAAAUUUGAACUCCACCAAAAGGAUCUUAGAAUUCCAAAUCCUCUAAAGCACCAUGGAUCUUUCUCUAACGUUCUCCAAAAAAUGAUGAACUCAAAACGAGUGGGCGUUUUUCAUUCUUGGGUUAUUUUUUUUUUAUCACACAACUUAAUAUAUAUUGAAAACUUGUAUUCUUAUCCCAUCAUCCGAGAAACAUUGAGAAAAAAAAAACUUUUUAAUACCACGAAAUAACUGACAUAUUUUGAAUUUUGAAAAACAUGGGAGAGAAUAUCUCUCCCCAUGAUCCCCACUUAAAAAGUGUUUCUUAGGGAAUACAAGUAAGUGUGGUCUUCACCACAUUGUAUCAAAAAAUAUUUUAAAUAAUCAUAUUAUAAAAUAAAUAAAUCAAAUCAAGAUUGUGUGAAAUUAAUUUAGAAUUCAAAAUUCCAAACUAAUAAAAUCAACCCAACAUAAAAAAAAUGUUCAUAUAAUUUUAAUGGAGCCGUUGAGAGGAACUAUGGACAUUAUAAUUUUAAGCUCCAAUAACUUUGACAAUUAAUUAACAACUUAAUUAAAAAAUCAAAAUUAUUAAUUCCAAAAUUACUCCACUAAAAAUUUGGAAUUGCACUCUUAAAAUUAUAAAAUUAAAUAUAUUCAAAGGAUUUGAAUUGCCCAUUGAUAUAGUCACUACAUACGAGUCAAUCCUCCAUAAACGGUUCAUAAUUAAAGCUAGGUUUUUCCGUUAACCUCUUUAAUUAUAUCUUUCUCCUUAAGUGUCAUUGGUUCUCUAAUGAAUAAUAUAUUUAUGGUCUAAUCAUAAAUUGAGCGCUCUUAUCAUUCAAGGCCCGAACCAAUACUUAUGGGAACCGUCCAUCUGACUUCUUAACGAAGGAAUGGAUUUCAUCUUGUAUAUUAAUAUUCCCGGCUAUUUAUUUUAUUAUACUUCCAAUACACCAAGAAUUUGACACUAUGUAUUUGUGUCAUUACCCGGUAUGUAAAAAAAUACAAUAGAAUAAAUAGGAGUCUAUUAAUCACUCAGAAUUAAGAUCAAUGCAUAUAUGACCAUCAUUGAUUAAUAUUGAAUGCUCUAUAUUAUAACGGAAUUUAUCAGAGAUUCAUAAUUAAUCGUGUUCCAGUCCUAUAUAAUCAAAUUAUAUAAAGCGCUUUCAUUCCAAUAAUCUCAUUAUUAACAAUCCGGAUAAGAUCAUUUCAUUCAGAAUGUAAUGAACCGCGCUAGUAAUUUUAAAUUAAAGAUCCCAACUUUAAUUUUUAAUUACGAAUAUAUUAGAUUAUUUUACUUUAAAUAUUAUCCUCUUGUAUAUAACACUUAUAUACAAUAUUUAAAGUUACAAUUAAAUAAUCUAGGGUUUUCGAUAUUCAUAAAGCAUCUAUAACAUGCAUGCAACAAUAAUAUUGAAAUAAUUCCUAAAAAAAAUAUUAAUAAUCAGCAAAAUAAAAAACAUCUCAUUUGUUUAUGGGCACAUAUUCCAACAGCAACCCCCACCUCUAUUCCUUCAUACCAUCAUGGCCAUCAUUGACAUGAAGGCCCUAUCCUCCCCCCCCCCCCCCCCCCCCCCCCGUGGGCUUGCUAUCAGUUGGCCACCCUUUUUGUUCUUUUAAAAAUAAGGUGGCAGCACCUCUAGAUCUUCAUGGUGGAUGUUUGGCUGGUGGGCUUUGUUGGUGGGCUCCCAAAGCCCAGGUUGUAUGUUAAGAUUAGUUCACAUGGGCCUUAAGCCCCAUCCCCCAAGUUCGGGCCAAGUAUACAGCCCUCUCGAGUCUUUUCUUUUAAUGUUAUAAAUAUGUUUUUCCUAUGAAGAUUUUAAAAUCAGCUGUACAAAACAUCAUUUUCGAAAUAACUUCCUAAAAUUUAAUUUUAAAUUCAGUUUGCAAAAUUUUGAUUCUUGAAAAUUCAAUCCCGAAAAUUCCCCUAUGCAAUUAUACUCGUUUAAAUAUUAGGAUUAUUAAUUAUUAUUAUUUUAUAUGUAUCGAUUUAUCAUCUUUUAAAAAUCUCAUUCAUUAAAGUCUAAUCCUUCAAAAAUUCUAUGUUUUAAUUUAAAUUUUCAAUUCUAAAAAUUUCACAAUUUGUUUAAAUCCCAUUUUCAUCAACUAGAAUUAUCCUCCUAUAUUUAUCUAUUUAAAUUCUAAUCCUUCAAAAAUUCCAUGUUUUGAUUUAAUCUUUUAAUCCUAAAAAUUCUACAAUUAAUUUAAACCUUACUUUCAUCAAUUAGAAUUACCCUCCCAUAUUUACUUAGUUAUUUAAGGUCUAAUAUUUCAAAAAUCCCAUAUUUUAAUUUAAUUAUUCAAAUAUUCGUUUAAAUCUCAUUUUCAUUAAAUAGAAUCAAUAUCUCAUAUUUAUCUAGUCUAAUAUUUCAAAAAUCCCAUGUUUUAAUUUAAUUCUUCAAAUAUUCGUUUAAAUCUCAUUUUCAUUAAAUAGAAUCAAUAUCUCACAUUUAUCUAGUCUAAUAUUUCAAAAAUCCCCUGUUUUAAUUUAAUUAUUCAAAUAUUCGUUUAAAUCUUAUUUUCAUCAAUUAGAAUCAUUAUCUCGUGUUUAUUUAGCUAUUCAAAGUCUAACCUUUUCAAAAAUCCCUUGUCUCAAUCUAAUGUUUCUAUAAUUCAUUUUGAAUCUUAUUUUCAUCGAUUAGAAUUAUUAUCACGCACUUAUACACUUAUUUAAAGUCCAAUAUUUCAAAAACCCCAUGUCCUAAUUUAAUUUUUCAAUCCUAGAAAUUCCAUUAUUCGUCCAAAUUUUAUUUUUGUUAAUUAGAAUUCUUAUUCCAUAUCUAUUUAUUUAUUUAAGGCCCAAUUCUCCAAAAAUCCAACUUCUGAAUUAAAUUUUCAAUCCAAAAAAUCCUACUAUUCAUCUUUAUUCGCCUAAAUAUUAUUCUUGUUAAUUAGUGUUAUAAUCCCAUACUUAUCUAUUUAUUCAAAGCCUAAUCCGUCGAAAAUCCAACGCCCUAAUUUGAUUUUCAAUUAAAAAGAUUCCGCUAUUCAUUUAUUCGUAUAAACAUUAUUUUUGUUAAUUAGCAUCAUUAUUCCAUACAUAUUUAUUUAUUUAUUCAUUUCAAUCAUUAAAAUUCAAUUCUUCAAAAUCGGAUUUCCAAAUUUAAUCUUUAGACUAAAAAAUUUCACUAUUCACUUUUAUUCAUUCAAAUAUCAUUUUUGUUAUCAUUAUUAUAAAUUCCACGUUUACUUAUUUCUUUCUUCUAAAAAUUCCAAUAAUUAAAGUUCAAUUAUUCAAAGAUUCGACUUUCAAACUUAAUUUUCAAAAUCCCACUAUUCACUUUCAUCCGUUCCAACAUCAUUUUUGUCGAAAUUCGCAUUUCAAAUUAAUUUUUAAUCUCACAAAUCUCACUAUUCACUUUCAUCCGUCCAAAUAUCGUUUUGAUUAAUUAAUAACAUUGUUCCAUAUUUACCUAUUUAUUUCUCUUAAAAAUCUCAAUCAUUAAGGUCUAAUUCUUCAAAAUUUCGAUUUUUAAAUUUAGCUAUUUGAAACUCCAAUUGUCCAAUCUCCGAACUUAAUUUUCAGUUUCCCAUGCUCCAAUUCCCGUAUUUAUCCCGCUACUUAUUAUUAUCAUUAUCAUUAUCAUCUUAUUCAUUAUUUCUAUAAAUUCUGCAUUCGAAUGAUUUCUAAGAUUUCCAAUUUUUACACAUCAACUUUCAUAAUUUCUAUUUCUCAAAUAACUUACGAUUCUGAUCUCUUUCAAAAUUCAACUCCCAAAGUCUCAAUUUUCGCAACUUAAUCUUUCUUUAAAAUCCCGAACCCUCAAAUCAUCUUCAAAAUUCCAACCUCUUUCAAAUUCAGUUCCUAAAAAUUCUCAUUCUCACAUUCAAUCUCUAAAAGUCUAAUCUCCAAAUAAACUCUAAAACUCCAAUUUUCUAGUGAACUUCGAGAUUCCAAUUUUUCAAUUAAAUUUCAAAAAAUCUGAUUUUCUCUUAAAUAGCUUAAUUCCAUUCUGGUCUUCAAAACAAUCUUCUGCUCCUCUGUUUUAAAAAAUGUUUUGAAAUAAACAAAUAAUCAAAUUUUGUAAUUCUGAAUAAUGGAAUUUACGGAUUUGGUCCAUUUGAUAAAUGGGUAUUGGUGGGAGCCCAACAUAUGCGACUUUAUAACUGAUUGAUUUAGUUGUCAUGCAUGAUUGUUUCUAUUCUGUCCUAUGACAUGCUUGAAAUCAUUCUUUAAUUGUGCACUAACCUCACUUUUUGAUAAGCGCAUUGUGGCUCGUCACUCAGGUACGUAUCUAUUCCCAUUCCGGUAUUUCCAUAUACAUGUUUUGAUUCUCCUAUGUGCAUGAUAAUUCCGGGUAUUCAUUGUUUUCCUCAUCAAUUGCCAUGAUUGCUUUAUUUUAUUAGUAGAGACCCGACUUUAGGGGCUUAGAGGGGUGCUACGGUCUUUACCAUACCUUCCUGAUGAGUAACUUGACCCCCGAACCCGAUCCAGUUUUUCAUAGACCACCUUUUCCAAAAUAAGGAGUCACACUUAGGGUUUUUCUUUCUUAUUUUGUUUACCCUUUAAAAAUAAAACAAAAAUAAGUGGCGACUCCAAGUCAUUUUUAAUCAAUAAAUCAAUUUUUUAAAUAAAAAUCGAGCUCGUCAUCAAGUGGGAAACGCAUGAGCCGAAAUGCGGGGUCCACAGAAUGAUUACGUUAUUACAAAGGUUAGAUUGGUAAAUAUUUUGGGAGAAAAUCUAUUUUCAUUAUUUUUUUUUUCAAAAGCACUUGAGAAAUGAUGUAAGUAUAUUAAUUUCAUACGUGCACUUAGUUAUUUUUUAAAAUUUAUAAAAAUAUUAAGGUAAGGAUAUUUUAGUUAUUAUGCUUUAAAAAUAGUAAUUAUGCUUCCUAUAUAAAAUAAAAUAUAUUUUAAUCUUUUUAUUUUGAAAAGAAACAAUGGUGUUGUUUUUCAAAUAUUUCAAUUCUAUUACACCUUCUCCCAACUUUUCCAAAAAUACAUACAUAGAAGAUAGAAAGAGUUUUUAUCUCAUAUAUUUAAAACAUUUAAAUUAGGAAGGUUUUUUAGAUAGGAAAUAAAAUCAUAUUAGGUGAUGAAUAAGUGAAUAUAAAUUGCUUUUUUUUUCAUACGUAGAAUAGGCUGUUAUUGUCUAGUUUUUCUGUUGGUUAGAAGACAGCUAGGUCGACAGUCAGCAAGAGAAGCCCGUGGACACCAAUAUUUUUAAUCUAUAUUUAAUAUAUAUAUAUAUAUAUAUAUAUAUAUUAUUUUUUUUGAAAAUAAUUUCUCCACAAUUAAAUAUUAUAUAUGUUUUUAAAUAUUAGUUCAUUUAAAUUUAAACUUGUCCUCAUUUCUUUUGAUGAUAUCAAAUAUAAAAGAUAAAAUAUUAUUAAAAUUUUGAAUUAUAUUUAUAUUUUUUAGUUUUUUAUAAUUAAUUAAUUUAAUUUUAUAUUUAUAACGUUACUAAUUUGACCAUGGUUCAAUUAUCAGCUCUGAUCAAUAAAUCGUAAAUUGGUAACUUUUUUUAUUCAAUGACCAGAUUAUAAAAACAUUGAUUUGAUGUAUAAAACAAUUUUAAUAUUUAAAGUAAAAAUUAAAUAAUAUGUUUUAAGUUAAUAACAUAAUUAAAAAUAACUUAACUUACAGUUAACUUAAGUCAUUAAAUAAUAAGUAUUAAGUUUUACUAGUGGUUAUCUAAAAUUUUAAAAGUGGUUUUAAGAAUUUGUCAAAUACCUAAUUUUUCUCAUAAAACACUUUCAUAUAUCACAUACGAGACACUUUUAACUUUCUCAAAAUCAUUCUCCUGACAUACUUAUAUAAAAUUUUACAAAGAUUUUUUGGUACAUAUUUUUUGUAAUUUGUCAUUGUUUACAUUGGGUUGACUCAUCUAAGUCUUCUGCUUGGUCUUUUAGGUAAACAUGGCAUAGCUUGGAAAAUUAUAUGAAUGAAUCCAUCAUUUAUCUCAACAUCAAUAUUUUUUUCUUCAAAUUAUUUGAUAGGAAACCUUGGAAAAUAUUGCCUUGAAAAAUAUGGUUGCAUUCCCAUUUUUUCCACGAUAGUAGAGGUCUCAUAUUUUGGCUAUGAACCUUUUGGAAAAUCCAUUAUUAAAAGUAAACAACACAUAACUUAAUUGAGUCAUUAAAUUAUUUAAAAAUAGUUUUUCAAAGGUUCUUCGAAAACUUCACAUUUUCAUUUUGAUUUAUAAUGUCUAAAAAUCUUAUAUUACACUAUAAAUUCUUUUAAAAAUAUGCUAUUAGGAGUAAAAGAAACAAGAACCUUAUAUUAGUAUUGUAGAAAACAAAAAUUUAAAAGAAAAAGUUUCUAUCUUUACCUUUUGAAAUUAGAGAAACUAUAUUUGUUUUAAUUAUAAGAAAUGAUGGAAAAAUAGUCUGAUUGAAAAAAAAAAAAAAAAGAGGUAAAAGAGAAAAAUGUUUGUUUUAAAACAUAAUUUUUAAAUAUAAACAUUAAAAUAUCAAAUGUAUUAUCAUUAAUAUUUGAAAUUAUCAAAAUUUGUGAGGUAAUAAUUUCAUUUUGUUCUCCAUUAUGUAUUUAUGUUUGUAUUAAAUUUAUAUAUAUAUAUAUAUAUAUAUUAUCAUUUUGUGUUUAAUGGUACAAUAUUUUUAUUUUUUGUCUAUUAUGUAUUUAUGUUUAUAUUAAAUUUGUUUUAUUAAUUAUCUUUUAUAUAUAACCAUUUUUUAUUUAAUGUGUUUAAAAAAAAUUAAAAUUUAAAAGAUGUAAUGAGAGAAAGUGUAGCGAGAAUUAAAUAAAUAAAUAAGUGUCAAAAACUUAGAUAAGGUAACAUGGAGGAGAAAAGAGAAAAAAAUUGACUUAAUUGUGUCAAAAACCUGUAAAGGUUUUUGUGUGAAUCUCAUUCUUUUUAUUCCAUUUCUUCUAUCAUCUCUUAUAAUUUCCUUUUUCAUGUAAGCACAGUAAAAGUUUACCAAAGUUGCGAUUAAUUGAAAAAUAUUGCCAGUUCACAUUUUGAUUCAUUCAUGAUGUUUAAAUGUUUUGCAUGUAUUUGGGUUCUAGCCCUUCCAAAAAUCCACUAAUUUUUGUGCUUUGGAAAAUCCUCACCUAAUUCAUAUUUUUUGUGUUCUCAUUCUUCAUUAAGUUAGAAGACAAUCUUAGUGAGUGUCAAUGUUCACAUUACUUUUAUUGUAAUCCACUUGAGUGGAAACAAGGAAAUUUCAUUCAUGGUGGUCUUCCCACUAAAUUAAGGUGAUUGAGAUUUGUUUCGAUGGGUCAAUAUCAUGAAUUAUGUGAACACCAAUAUUAGAGGUUGUAGUAGUAGACUAAAAAAGUGUUGCCUAACUUAGGGUGUUUUCCGGAAAAGAGCCUCUUAGACACCAAUAUUCGAAAGCACUUAUCUUGAUUAUGGGGGUAAAAAAUGAAGCAGUUUUUGCUUUAGCUUAUGUUUGGUUCUUGGAAAACACUAAGGAAAGAAAAAAAAUGUAAAAGAAAAUGAUUUUUUUCAUGUUUAAUUAUCUUAUGAAAAAUAUCAAAGAAAACCAAAUAUAAUUAUAACUAGUUAGAAAUUUAUAUAUAUUUAAAUUAUUUAAUCUUUAUAUUAAUGAGUUAAAAUAAGUAAAAUGAGUUUAAAAUAACAAAUAAAAAUAAUUUAUAGACUCUUAAUCUAUUUUUUAUUUUCCUUUACUUUUUAUUUCCUUCUACUUUUCCUUUGUAUUUUUUUUCCCUUGCAUUUUUCCUUAAAUUUUUUGAGAACCAAACAUAGCCUUAGGAAACAAAAGAAGUAGUCCAAAAGUAUUUUGUAUAUGAAUAUAAGGUAAAUUCCUAUCUUAUGUACAAUUUAUAUUUUUAAAAAUAAAAAAUGGAAAAUAUAUGUACAAACAACCUUAAUAAUUAUCAUAAAUAUUUUAUUUGAACUUCAAUUUUUCUUUUCAUUUUUCAUUUUAUGAUUUAAAAGUUUUAUUUUUUCUAAAAUUUCAUUCAACUUUUAUAAUUUGCUAUUGUUCGCUUUUGUUUUUGUCAAGUCUUUGUCUAGUUUUUCAAAGAUUCUUGGAAAAUUUUAUCUCAUUCUCAUUUUGAGCAUGUUGUUUUGUUUUAGUCACGUCUUUAUCUAGUUUUAUAAUGAGUCCACAAAUCCAUAUUGCGUAAAUCAUACGUAAUUUAAUUUUUUUUUGACUCAUUAUGAAUAUUUUAUUUAACUUUUAAAUUUUCUUUUAAUGAUCAUUUGCGUUUGUGAAGGGUCAUUCUUUUCAUUUUGUUUGACUUCUCAAAUCUCAUUUUCAUGUGAAACUUUGUAGGGUUUUCCAAAGGCCCUUGGAAAAUAUUGCCUUAUUCAUUAUGAAAUCUUCCAAAAAUCCAUGACGGGCAAUAAAUAAGGUAUAAGCUUAAUUGAGUGAUUACAUUAUUUAGAACUUAUAUAGGAUUGAUUUUAGGUAAAGCAUUCUUAAUUUGUAGUAGUCUUUGUAAUUAGUGUUUUUAUUAGAAAAACUUUUUAAGAAAAAUCAAUUAGUGCUUAGAUAUAAUAACAAAAAUAUAUAUAUAUAUAUUUUUAUAGUAUUUUUAGUAAUGUGUUAUAUAUAACAAAAAAAAAAAAAAACAUAAAAUCUCCUAACAUGUGAUCAUCCAUGAAUCACUUUAGAUGAUUAACUAAAAUUUUAAAAUAACUUUAUGAUUAUCAUUCUUUAAUUUCGGUUGACUCUUCUAAGUCUACUUAUUGGUCUUUUAUGUAAAUAUGCUAUAGUUUGGAAAAUUCUAUCCAUCAUUAAUCAACAUCAAUCGUUGUUUUCUUUAAAUGAUUUGAUGGGAAAGCCUACCUCACAUGGAAUAUGGAGUGCCUUUGUUUAAUGGAUUUCAAUUGCAUGCUCCUGGAAAUUAUGCCCUAAUCCAUAUUUUUUUUGCGUUGAUAUGGUGAGCUGUUGAAGAUGUAUUUCAUUUUCUUGAAAAGAAAUAAUUAGUGCAUACACAUUUUGAAAUAUUAAAUUAAAGAGGAAAAUGACACCAUACUCCCAUAAAAUUCAAUAUAUUUGUUUAUUUGUUAAAUAAGUAAAUAAUUAAUUAAUCAAAGACUUUAAAGGAAAUAUUUGUGUGAACUAAAAAUAUAUAUAUUUAAAUUAUAAAGGAUUUAGAUAGGAAAGAAAAAGAGGUUUUAAAUGUAUAAACUUGCAUGCAACAAAGGGAAUUUGCUGUCAUUGUCUACUGCCUUCUUUGUUACGUUAGAAGAGAGGCAGCUGGGUGAUGAGCAUUUGUGUUCACAUUUACUUUUAUUGCAUGCAGUCCACACUUAAUUGUACACAAGAAAUUAAUUCAUGGACCACGAGGACAUUAAUAUUAAUAUUAAAGACUUGAGUUGAGCAGUGGACUGACUUGACUUGGGGUGUGCUUCCGGGAAGAGUCUUUCUUAGUCUUAGGCACCAACUAAUAUUUAUAUUUAUAUUUGCAUUAUAAAAGUGUGAGGUAAGGUUUAAUUAAUUGCAGUGAAUUAAAGAUGGUGUCCUCCAUUAGAAUUUCUAGAGCAGUGGUGCUAGUUACCAUUACCAGUACCAUGAUGAUAAUGUCAUUCUCCUCCCUUGCCAAUGCAAUAUCAUCACCAUCAUCAUCAACUGAUGAGGGAGAGGCUCUGCGCAGCACCGGUUGGUGGAAUUCUACUUCUGCUCAUUGCACCUGGGAUGGUGUACGUUGCAAUAAGGCUGGAAGCGUCACUCUCAUAGAGCUUUCCUAUCUAGGAAAAAAAUUGGGUGAGCUUAGCAAAUUGAAGUUCUCUUCAUUUCCCAGCCUGGUUGAGCUCUUCCUUUCUGAC
rnacentral:lncRNA from 1 species